UUUUUUUUUUUUUUUUUUGUUAAGGUGUGUAAUAAUAUUUGGAUUUCAUAACAAACAAACACACGAGUUUCAAAUUAAAAUAAUAAAAUUACACGACUAAAUUAUGCAAUAAAAAUAUCAAUUUGCAUGAUAAUUUCCCUAUAAAAAGUUGUUUAACGUUUUAUUAUAUGAAAAUGAUAAAUAAAUAUUUGAUAUAUCGUGUGAUGUUACGGGUAAGAGUUAACGUUUAAAUGUAUUUUGGAUUUAGUCGUGUUGGUUUAUUUUUUCAAUGUAGUAAAUUAUAAUUGAAUUGGGUAACAAUUUUAUUGAAAUCAAUUAAAUAUAGCUCAAUUCAGCAAAACAAUAAAUAUUUAAUCAAUCAUUAAGUACUUUCAAGUUAAAGAAGUGAAAAUAUUUUUUUGACUACUAUACUAAGCCAUCUAAUCUGUUGAGUUAGGUUAUUACAAAAGGUAAGUUUAAUUAGUUAGUGUUGUCAGGAGUUUUGUCUACCAUCGUCUUAUCUUUAAAAAGUGUAUUAGAUAUAAAAAUAAAUAAAAAUAUUUAAACUGUAUUCAAUCUUAAUUUCUAAAUUAUACAUUUAACUUGGACUUCUAAAUCAUAAGACUGGAAAUUAAACUGAAUCACUUAAAGCUUGGUUGAUAAAGUUUAAUAGAAAAAUGUUGAUAACAAUUGGUAAAUUCUAGUAAAUGAUAAAAUUCUAAUCUUAUUUGAGAAAAUAAAUUCCCUACAGUCUGGAACAGCGAACAGCAAUAUAUGAGUAGGAGAUUGUAGUGAGGUAUAAUUGUUUGUAAGAAAAUGGCGUUAAGGUUUGGAGAGAAGGAACAGGAAAACACAAGAAAUGCAACAUAGAAAGCAUCAAUGUGGUGUUGUUGUGUUUUCCGUGAGUGAGUCUCACAAAGUCCAUGAGUUUGAUCUCUUGAGCAAAGGCUUGAGUAGUUUGUCUUCUUCGAGAGCCACAAGGCCUAUAUGGGAAGGGUCAUCCAGCAUCAUCCUAGCGGACAAGUAGCCGGCAAUGGACCAGGUCUGGAACUUACGGGCCUGCUUCCCAACGUAUCUCCCCCACUUUCCAUCGUAAUAUUCCGGCCAGUUGUCCUUCAGCAAUUUAUUCUCAGCUAUUUGAAGGGCACGUCUUGCAAUCUGGGGUCUCCCUGUCUUUAUCGACGCAGCAGCCAGAAGCCAUAACAGAACUAUAACCACCACAAAUUAAUCAUCAAAUCACUCAUGUUAAACCAAACAUUUGAGAGUGAGAGUGUCGUAGAAGAAUUAAUACCUGGCCAGGAUCCCCCGUUAUGGUAACUCCAUCUAGUAUUUUUUGGGUCACACCCUGUUAUGAUCAUCCAUUCAUGGUUGUCUAGAGCUGGAUAACAUACUUUCACAGGCAUCUCCCCAAUCAAUUCCUCCCACCGUGAUUCUAUGAGAUCCAUGAUUGCAGUUGACUGCUCCGGAGUUGCCAUGCACGACAAAAUUGCAACGCAGUUGCCGAGGCAAAACCACCGGAAAUCCAUCCUAGCUGGGCUCACAUUCCCAACAAAGUAUCCACCAAGGUGCGGCAUGAAAUCGAACACCCAAUCUGGCAAAGAUUCUGGAAUAACAUUGAACUUGUUCACUGCAGUAUGUGAGUACUCCUCUGUUUUGUAGCGGUAUACAUCAUUGAGUUGCUUCAAAUCCAACCAGAAGUGGCUCCUCAUAUGAUAGCUUAAGGCGUGCAGCCUUUUUACAAUUCGCUCCAUGAACUCUUUCCCUUCGGCAUCUGGCUUAAGUAAUUGCAAGGCACAUCUUAGAGCCAUGAAGAACAAUGCUUGAAUUUCUAUUGGAUACCCAUAAACACCCUGAAAUCAUAUACAAAUUUUAAGGAAAUGGAGAAAUGCUUAGUUUCGAAGACAGCAGACAAGGCACGAAUGAGGGUGUCAUAAACAUCGGAAAACUCACCAUUCUGCGAUCAAUCAUGCAGCAUCCAUCAGCACAUAGUAAAGUUGGAAACGUGUCAAACCCCUCUGACAGACAUAGACUCAGGAUCAAGCGCAUACCCUUUUGACAUUCAGGUUCUUCGGCCAGUGAAGAGUCUCCCGUAGACUUUGUGUAUGCCCGAAGUAGUAUGAUCCACCAAAAUCCAGAAUCAACUGGAGCGACCCUUCCUAUCGCACUUUCACCAAAAUCUGCUAUAAGGGUUUCGUGGUUUCUGACGGGAUCAUGGAAUACUUUAAAACUAGCAGGCAUCACCCCUUCUGCUAGAUGGAAUCUGUCAAUCUUUUUCUCCCACGAUUGAAGGCGAAGGGUCUUUAAAAUAAAAUUUUUAACAAUGUCCGGUUCACCAUGCAUUAGAAAAGCCAAAGCACUAGGGACAAAGUCUCUUACAAACACCUAUUAACAAAUACGGUAAUACCUUAGAUUAGAGCAAAGGAAAACAUUAAAAUGGGGAGACAGGGAAAGAGAAUGUAUAAUGAUCAAAGUCACUGACUGACCACCAUGAAAAGUACGUAGAAACCAAAAUGACGAAAAAGACUAAGACUAAGCUCUAGUAUAAAAAGAAAACAUGGCCUACAAGUGUAGCCAAAAUUAAAGUACGUGAUGAACUUGUGCCUAUUUUCCCUAUCCCCAAAAACAGAGAAAAAAAAAAGACAACAUAGAAGAAACAGAAAUAUCGAGGAUAUGACAAGGUCUUGCUACCUGAUCAUAAUUAAGUUGCUCAUCCGAAUUAUCCAAAGCAGCAAUUGUACCAACUGGCUGGCCACGAAAAUAUACCAAGGAACGCCUCAGAGCUUCCCAAGCUUCUGAUGUUAAUGAAUGUGAAUCCCAUGGCACUGAUCUUGGAGUAUUGAUGCCAGACUUUGACAGAGGGGAAUGUAUAUGAUCAACAUGUUCUGCCAGGCGAGAUGUGAACUCAAUUUUUGAGAUCAAAUGACGUGGAGAAAAGCCUACGGAUAGUUCACUCAGUGAUCUUUCAUCACAUGAUCUCUGUCUGUCUAUAUUCAAAGCCGGCCUGGGCCUAUCUAUUGCUUUUGAGAAAUGAUAUUCCUCCUUUUCUGCUACACUAGCAUGUGCCUCUGAACUCUUUAAACUUCCUUUGUGAGACCCUCCUUUCGGAAUGGAAGACAUCUUCCAAAAUCUUAGCACUUGCAAUAGUCUUGCUCAAAAUUCUGCUCAAGUAAGUAUGUUGACAUAACAUUAACAUAAAAGUACCAUACCCUCGAACUGAUAAAUUCCUUGUUUCUCACAAUUCAUAAGUCAAAGGCAUAUAAUUCCAAACUUGUGCACCAUUCUCUUAAUCCGAAAUUCAAAAUGAUUUGAGUUCGGACAUACAGGUUCCCAAAAAUGAUACUACAUGAAGAUUAGAAACACCAAUCUACAAGUGAUUAACUUUGAAAAUACAUUCACACUAUUCAAUUCAAGCGGUUUGUUGCUAUCAAAAAAUGAGUAAAAAAAAUAAUAAUAAUCAAGUGGUUUUAACUUCAUUUAUAGAUUCCCAACUUUCCAACUCCAGAUCGCUCUACCAAAGGCACGAAUUAUUUCGCUAUUUUUUGUUUUUAUUAAUUCUAGAAAGGGUCACUUCUUAAUUAACUAGCAGGUCAAAAUUCUCCCAGAUGCUAACUGAAAAGUCUCAUGUACAAUUUGACAAUCGCAAAAAAGAUAACCACAAAGAGCAAACAAGACAAGCCAACCACAAAAAAAGAAGGAAAAACAUUUAAAAGAAAGGGGGUAAACCGGUGAUGAAAGUCAAGAAACACAUAUAACCGGUGAUGCAUAAGAAGCAGCAUUGUAAAAUCUUCACGGUUGUAGAACAUUAUCAGAAAAAACUAGCACGGUGCCAUCAAACCAAUUAAGGAUCACAGAACUUUCAAGAUUUGCGUCUACGCAUCAUGCUCAUCCCAAAACAACAGAUUCAUGCAAGCUAAAAAAUGUGUAGAAUGCAUGACAAAGAGGGAUGAUAAUGGCUGAAUGGGUCAUAUAAGAAAAUUAUUUAAAACUGCAAAGAAUUAAAGAAGAGAAAAACUAACCCCCCAGAAGUUUGGAGAUAUUAUUUUAUUUUAUUUUUCUCUGGGUUUACAGUGUAAAGUUGUAGAGAAAGAAGAGAAGAAGUUGAAGCACGUGAAACAAAAAGGUCCUUUCUUUCUUGGUUUCUUUCUUUCCCUGUGUGAUUGUGAUUUGUGAAGGAAACGACGAGUGAAUGAGUCUAUCUAUGAUAUGAAAAGAUGCAUCAUAGGACAUUUGGGUUUCCACGGAGGGGCUGAUAUUGUGGUGCUACGUCGGAUCUUAGUAUUCUCCAUUUUCUCUUACCAUCAUUCUCACUCACCCACAAACUCACGUUCAACCUUCAACAUUCACAUCGCCUUCUAUUUUUCAUUUAUUACAUUAAUCCUACGUCAAUAUCUCUUUGCUCCACCUAUUUUAUUAAUAAAUUUCAUUUCUCUUUUUAUUUUUAUUUUCUCCUUUCAUUAUAUUGUUUAUUAUAUUCAUUACUCAUUUUUAAUACCUUCUCAAAAAUAAAUAAUUUAUUAAAAAUAUAAAUGUGUUUGUAUCUUAUUCCUUAGUAAGUCUUAUAGUUUAAUAAAUUACAUAAUAUAUAUUAAUAUAUGGAAGGUUUCUAAAUACUGGAAUGUAACUUGGAAUUCAAAAAAAAAAAAUCACAAACGACAUUUCGUUAUUAUUGAUAUUAAUUAUGAAAGCGUUGUUAUACACUUCUUUCUCUUUUUUCUUGUCGGAAUUUAAACUUAUAUUGUAUUGAAAUAGUUGUUAAAAAAAAUAAUAUAAAAAAAAAAAACUUUACCGACAAUGUAGUAUAUAUAUUUGAGUCUCGUGAGAAUUUUGGCUCAAAAGGUUUUUUUGUUUACUUCUUUUUUAUUAAGCUAACGUUUAUAUUUACAAAAUUAUCAUAAAUUUGUUAAAUAAAAAAAUAUAAUAAAGUCUUCCUAUUGAAAUCAUUACUGCAUUCGUAGCAAACAUCUAAAUUAGAGGUAUUGUCUACAAUAAAACGAUGUGCUAAAAAAAAUGCUUAUAUACAAAAAAGUCUAUGAGUUCAUAAAGCCUUUGUGCUAACAUUCUCUUGGUUUGACACAUUUGGGUUUCAGAAUUGGGCUUUGAGGCCCGCUCAAGAGAAAAAAAAAACCCUAAUUUUGUUUUAUCUUACUUCAUAAAACUUAAUAUUACAACUAACAUUAAAAAAAGUAGGUAGAUAACACACAUUGAAUGUUUUUAACUUAAACCUUAUAUGCAUAUGAAUCUUUUGGUUGACUUUUGAUAUCACUUCACAUUAUCGUAUACUUUAUGAUUCUUUGUUGUAAUGAUCCAAUUUUUUAGAAACCUCAACUAUUGUUAAUAUUCUAUUAUUUUAUUUUGUGAUAAAUGGCCUUUGAUUUAAACCUAAUACUUAUGUUCAUCAAUUUUAUCAAAGAAUACUUUUGAUAAAACAUUCGAUAAAUGAAAAUACCUUUUCAUGAUUUUUGACUUAUUAGAUAUCACUAGUCAUCUUUUAACUUUUAUAGUUUUCAGGAUACCAUUUUUCAUAUUCUCAUUUUCUAUAGGAGGUUUUAUCUUCUUAGGUAAAUUUUUCUUCCGUGCAAUAUUCAUCUCCAUUAAUUGUUAUCAUAUAUUUUAAAUAAAAUUUAAUUUAUAAUAUGCAAAGUUAAACACCUUUAACUUAAACUACCAUUACCAAUAUAAUUAGUUUUUCUAUUGUCUCUACUACUACUAUCUCUAAAUCUUCAUAUAUAUUUUUUAAAACACAGAUAAUUUAAUUUUAUAGUAUUUUGUUUUUAUAAAUCAAAAUUAAAUUAAUUUUUCCUCAUAAUACUUUGUACUACUAUACAUAUAUUUAAUUUAAUUAAUAAACUAUUUUUUAUCUCAAUAAAAAAGUACAAUUGAUUAUACUUAAAUUAAUUUAAUUGAUUGUAAUGGGAUACUUCAAUGUUUUAUUAUUAAAAGAGGAUUAAGUGUAUAUCAACCUGAAUGAAAUAAUAUAGAAAAUAAGAUUUAUUAUACAUUCAUACUAUAAUUCUAUAUCAUUGCAUUACUUUUUUCGAAAUGUUAUAAAAAACUUUUCUAAACCAGUAUAAAUUCUUCAGAAACCGUCCAACCAUAUAUGUCUCUCACUCCCAAAAAUUAAGAGAAAAAAAAUAAGGGUUUUAUUUGACACGUCCUUCGUUCUAGAGGUCUCGUAGGCUAUUUCAAAAAGAUAAUGAUACACAGACAACAUUUUUUUGAUAACAUUUGAAUAUUAAUCAUACGUGUUAUUGUGUGAUUGAUCCAAAUGACACAAUGAUACCACCAUAAACCAAUCACACAAUGACACGUAUGAUAAUAUUCAAAUGUUGUCAAAAAAUGUUAUCUAUGUAUAUUUAUCCUUUCAAAAAAUAAUAGAAGGUAUUGAUAAAUUAAAAACAAUUGUUACAACUUUCUAAUAUCUUUUUCAUUUAACCCAUUACAUUAUUUUCUAAGACUUGUCAAUUAAUGAAAACACAGAAAUAAAUACUGAAAAUUGCUAAUAAGAAAAUUACAAAAGAAUCUUUGGUUUGGGAACUUUUAAGUAUUAAAGAAAUGUUGAAUAUAUACAUAGAAAGUAGUGUCGGUAAGACAUGGAUGCUCUUAUUGUCGCUUUUGAGUGCUGGCAAGUCUCUGGAAACUGAGAAUCACUUUUCUACUGAGGAAAACUCCACGAUAAUCAUUUUAUAUUUUUCCCAUGCUUAUCAGGUCGUACAUGGUCUUAGUUUUCCAUAAUAAAAUAUCUACCUCAUAGGGAGGAUGAUAAGGAUCACAUACAGAAGUGAUUUAUAGUGCGGUUUAAAGCCAAAAUGAAAAUCGAAUUCCUUUUCAUAAUAAAAUGGGUUGUCCCUGUAACAUGACCAAUUUCCAAAAGUUACUUGAAUUCAGAAUCUUAAACACUGGCACAGAAACGAUGAAGUUGACCCCACAUGAUGGUGGCUGUUUUAAUCAUUAUUGCUGAAUGUGAUGGCUUACUAGAAAAAGUGGUGAGAGCAACAAUUAUCCAACUAUCUAAAGUUGUGAGGUGGGUAUUGGUCUGGGAUGUGAUGAUGAGUGCUUGAUCUAUAAAAAUCCUUCCUAUUAUAUAUAUAUCUGCUUGAUUCAGAUAAGAAUCUGUAAAAAUUUCCAGAUUUCUAUGGGUUACUACUGCUAUAAACGCAGGAGUUGUAGCACUCAUACAUCAGAUGUUAUUGUGAUGUUGGCCGUGGCCUUGAUGCUCCUCUGCAUACCGUGGCUCUUCACGCGUGAACAAGUGGUGGUGGUUGAAGAAAAGAAGACGAAUUGGUCAGCUUUGAUCACGCCAAUACUGGUACUGUUCAUUCUGCUUUUGCUGUCACUGAUUGGAACUCCAAGGAAGGUUUAUGCAAAGCCAACCUGCUAUAGGUGUAAGCAUGUCUGUUACUGUUACUGGUAGUGUCACUCCAACACCUGCUCCAUCCAUCAUUGCUAUUGUCUUCCCUGCUCUAUGAUUAUUCUAUAUAUCCUUCCCAUUGCGUUGGAAUACUAUGAUACCAUCAUAAAUCAUAUAUAGUUUUGUUACAAGAACUAAAAGGGAGAAUCCAGUUGUGCUAAUAAUUUAAAUGUAAUUAUAAUUCAGCUGAAAAAAGUGUUAUAGUUUUGAAUUUAAGGUUUAGGAUUAUAAUUUCAUCAAAUGUUAAGGAUGUGGUGUUAGAAAAAAAUUGAUUAUAAUUAAUUUCUUGAGAUAAAUCCAGUUGCUUAAAAAGAGGAAAAAGAAGAAAAAAUGAUGGUUUAAUGAGGUGAAAUGAAAUUGGGUGAGCUCAACCUGACUUAUUACCUAAUUUUGUCCCCACCGCGGCUCAAUUAUUUUCUUCGGCCUGAAGCGGUGGUUUUUAAGUGGUUUACGCAUCGUUCCUGCAACCACCAUACAGGAACUACUUUAGUUAUUUCUAUACACAAUCUUCACUUUACUAAUCAUUAGCAUAUAAUUUAUUUUCAUUAAAUUUUUUAUUGCAUUCUUUUACUCAAAAAAAAAAAAGGGACUAAGGUUCUAAAACCUACUCACAACAAUUUUUAUAAAAAAAAAAAAAUCAAAAGAUGGUGGGAUUCAUAUGAUCAGAUUUGCAAAUAAUAUCAAAUUCACUCACUUAAUUGAGUUUUUGGGCAAAAGUUUUAAUGCGUGAUUCCUGAUUUUUUUUCAUAAUCUUUUAAUACAUAUUUUUAUAUGUAAUAUGCAUAAUUCUUAGGUUAAACAAGGAUGUUGAUCCAUUUAUGCAAUGAAUUUUGUGAAACAAAUACAAUUUAUAAAAACUAAAGUCCUUUUAAAAUAAGGAUUAUAUGAAUAAUUUUUUUACAGUAAAAAUAUAUGCAUUUUUUUUAAAUGGUGUUUCUUCGAAUACUCUAACUCUAUGUCUAAGAGAAAAAUAUAAAUUAAAGAAAGAUAACUAAUCAUGUGAGUUGAUAUGAUAAAUUAUAUAUGUUCAAAAUUAAUUUGUGUUUCUUUUAGAUUUACAGAUGAAUAAUAAUAAUAAUAAUAAUAUUUGUAUUGACUUUCUCAAAACAAUAUGAAAUAUGUGAUUUUUCUUUUUUAAUAUUCAAAUUCUCUCUCUAUAAUACUGAAGUAUAAGUGAAGAUACAUGUUUGCAUUAGAAUCCUCUACCACACUUAAUUCUCUGCUGCUACUCUAUGUUCCAGCAAUACAAAGGUAUAUAUAAAUUACUAUGAAUAAUUAAAAAUUAGAAACAGGUUGCAACAGUGGAGGGGAAUAAAAAACUUUGUUUCAUUUGCCUGCAUAAAAAAAAUGAUUUAAUAAACAUAGAUAACAUAUUACUGUAUUAAAAGAAAAUGAUAAAAUAAACAUACAUAACGUUUAUUUAUAUUUAUGGUAAUUAUAAACAUACAUAACGUUUAUUUAUAUUUAUGGCAAUAAUAAAUAUAUACAAAUUUAUCUAUUAAUUUAUUUCAUUAUAAUUUGAAAUUUUAAAGUGAUCAAAUUUAAAAUAAAAUAAUUCAUAUCUAUACCUAUAUAUACAUAAAAAAAAAUCAUUUCUAAUAUCUAUAUUUGUUUUCUAAUUUUACUCUUUGAAUAAAUUUUUUGUAAAAUUAAAACAAUUCUUUUAUCAAUUUUACCUUUAGUGAUUUUUUUUAAAAUUUAAUAAUUUUUUUAUUUAACUUUUUUAAACCGAAGAAUUCUUUUAAUUAUAAAACUACCUAUAAAAUAAUAAAAAUUAUUUAUAGUAAAAUUAUUAAAAAAAUAUUUAUACUUAAUUUUACAAUAAUAACAACAACAAUAGCAAUAAUAACUUUAUUAUCUUUUGUUAUUAUAAAAAAAUAAAAGCAUAUGCAUACUGUAUGUAUUUUCACUAGUGUAUAUAAAUAAAAUAGAAUUAAAUACAAAUAUUAAUUUAGUAUUUGAUUAAUGUUAUUAAUGUAAUUUGAUAUUUUCAUACAGUGUUAGUUAUUAUAUAUAUCAAAUAUUAUAUCAUUAAAUCGACUAAAAUAUAAUUUUAUUGUUAAAAUAUAUUCAUUUUACGUUUUUGUUUCCACAAUCUUAUUUUAUUUUCCUAUAAAUUUCUUUUCUUAUUUUGUUCUUUUAUUUUAAUUUAAAAUCUUUUAAAAAUUAGUCAAUAUAUUAUAUACGGAUAUGAUUGUGAGGGAUAUAAAGAUAUGUUGUGGCUGAGAAUUGGAAUAUUAUACUUUUUUACUUGUGUUGUGGGAUAACCUAUCACAUUCACUGUUUAGUGACUCAGAAUUAACUAACAUUCACUAUGCAAACCUACCAUAUCAAAAACACUAUGUCAAGUAGAUACCUGUACAAAAAAUCAUUUAAAAAAGAUUAAUAUAUAUAUAUAUAUAUAUAUAUAUAUAUAUAUAUAUAUAUAUAUAUAAAUUUAUAUAUAAACCCUUAGCGUUAUAUGUUUGAAGAGACAAACAUAAUAUUAAUAAUAGAGGUUACGUAAAAAUGAAAUAAAGAGUGAUUAGUAUGUAAAGUUGAUUGAGAUCCAUUUCACAUAUAAAAGUUAUGUUUAUAUUUUAUUUUUAUUUACAAUGGCUUUAAUAAUAUUAAAAAAUAAUAAAUGCUGUAAUUGAGAAAGUGAGAGUACAAUUACAGUGAGUGAGACCUCCUUUUAUGUUAAUGUAUGAUUCUUAUUUUAAACUUUUUAAAAUAAAAUUAAUUGCACUCUAAAAAAUAUGUAAGAUUAAAAUUAAUAUUAACACUAGACUUUAACUAAUACAAAUACACUAACACCUAUGUAAAGAAUAAACCAAAUACAAACUCACUACUCAUGAACAUUAUAUAAUGAUGUUAAUUUAUUUUUAAUCAUUAUAUAUUAAAAUAAAACACAUUUACACACGUAAGAUUAAUAGUCUAAUUAUAAUUUGGAAACUGAUAUUGACACCAUUUUGACACUGCACACAUGUCAAAAUGUGGUUGGACGAUUUUAGGUUAAAAAAAGCUGACACAAAGACAUAUUUAAAAGAGAAAAAUCAAAGUUCUUUUUUUUAAUUUAAAAUCAUCUAACCAUAUUUUAUUUUAACAUGUGUACAGUGUCAAAAAUGUAAUGUGAAAAUAUCAUUUUCCUUAUAAUUUAUUAGGUACAUAAAUUGUUUUCCUUUUUCUGAUAGGUAGCGUUGACAUGAUACGUGUUUAAUUUCAGUGGUGGGGCUACCCUCCUAAAUGGUAAUGAAUUUGGCAACAAGCAGGUAUGCAUUCACAAUAUAAACUACCACUUCAAAAGGCAAUUUAUUAAAAAAAAAAAACAAUACUUUCACACAAAUAUAUUUUCUACAUUUAUUUGAAAUUUUCGUUCAUUAUUUUUUUUUUCUUUUUUUUAUAAAUAUAAAAUUCACUUAUACUAUUUUAUCUUUAUAUAUAAUCGUAUCAUUAUUUAAAAAUAAAUAAAUCUAAAACUUUGUUUUACGGUACACUCUACUCUUCUUUAGAAUGUCCUACCUAGCUCUGUACUAACUCUAAUAUUUGACUCUCAUUUUAAAUGGUUGACACUCGCACAAAUCACACACUGCCAAAUCAUCCGGUACAAACUUUAUUUCCCAAACAAUCUUCAUCACGUUUAGCUAUAUAUAUAAAUCUAUAAACAAAAUAGAACAAAAACUCAUCAAUUCCACCGCACAAUUCUCACUUGUAAUGGCAUACGGUAGAAGCAGAGCCUCCUCUGUUUUUGACGGUUUCACUCUCAACCCCGUUCCAUAUCCCGUUUUACUAAUCUUAGCACUGAUCCUCUUGUUCCUAGCGAUUUCAUGGUAUUUCUCCUAUGAAGAAGUGGUUGAAGCUGCAGAAGAACAACUGGGGUGGAUGCUGUUAGCCACACCGCUGCUGCUAAUACUCAUGGUUCGUUGGUUAUCGUCUGUGGAUACUUCAGAAUGGUUCUUUUUCAACUCCUCGCCAUGGGAGAGAAGAAGGACCACGCACAACUUUCCAUCAGAGGGUACCUCUCCUUGGGGUGUUGCCGCUUUCAUCCUCCUGGUUCUCGUGCUUCUGCACUAUCAGUCCUCUUUUCUUGAUUCCUGGUUUGUUUGAUUUUGUUUCGUUUCUGUUCAGAGUUUCUCUGUUUCUCUACACUUUAUUUUCUCUGUUUUUAUUUCACUUUAUUAUUUAUUUAGCGUAAAGGUUAAUGCUAUAGAGUGAUUAUUAUUGUGUGUGUGUGUGUGUGUAUAUAUAUAUAUAUAUAUAUAUAAGUAGAUGAAUAGAUGCUGCUGCUGUAUGAAUAUGAAUUGGGUUUAAGGUGCUUCGUAAUGAUAAUGAUGAUGGUGGCAAACUAGCACAGAAAAAAAAAACAUUUUUUUUGUGUAUUUUCAUUUUUUUAAAAAAAGAUAAAUUUAAAAAAAAAAAAGAAAAAGAAAGACGUAUUGGUCUAAUCUAAAGAGCGGUUUCAUUUCAUACUUGCGUUACUUGAGAUACAUACUAUUGGUGGUCAAAACUCGUUCCAGUAUUUCUGCUGAAAUGAUGCUGAAGAAACGAAAUGUUGAGGUUAAUUUGUCUAUUUAGUUUUUGAAAUAAAGUACUUGGGCAUCAUUAGUUUCUUGAGAAUACAUAUUAUAUUCUUCUCUAUUUGAGUGUAGGAAAACUUUGUCUUUACAUUCCUGAGACAAUCUUCGUUUUUUAAGUAUUUUAAAAAGUCACUCCUCCAUGGCCAGUCAACAUAUGACAUUGGAGAAUGGAAACAAUAAAACGAAAAUGACAAACCCUCUUUUAAAUAUUUUAUUCGAAAGUAAGUCUGAUCGUUGUUUAAAUUGCAUUUUAUAUAAGAUAUAUUAAAAGGAGUUACAAGUAUAUGUAAGAUAUAAAAUAUAGAAAACAUAAAUGGGAACUUUUGUAUUUAUUAUUCAGUAAUUACAUAAAGAAUGAAAAUUAUUACUGUUGGAGUGAUGGUCUGAAUGCGUUAAAGUUGAAGGUUGCGGCAGUAGUAGAAUAUGAAACGAUGAAGAAUAUUAGGAGGAGAGGUAACAAGAAGAGGAAUAACUGAAAGCUGAUGGCUGUGCUAUGGAGCUGAGCCAUGUAGUCCUUGUAACGGGAGAAGGACAACAAGCCAAUUACAAUACAGAAUAUGGUGAGCAAAUGGCCUGAAAGACCAGAACCAUUGGUCAUGCUUCCACCCAAUUUCCAUUCUUCACCCCUUCUUUUAGGGAAGAACAUUUUCUCCUCUUUUUUUUCCUUUGGCUCACCACACCAGCACAAACCAGGACUCUCUCAGAACAAGCACAAACUCUGCUUGGCUUAUAUACUAUAGCUUCAAUGUUUCUGUAAUUAGGUUGGGUUUGGCAUAUUCUUUGAGUUUAACCAACAUACAAGUUUAUGGUGGUACAAGUAUUUUCAACUAGCUUGGCAAGGUAUCUGUGUGAAGGAUUGGAGGUCUUUAACACGCAUUCCAAUAUACAAACAUCGACGAGAUCAAUUAAAAAAAAAUAAUGAUAUUUUAAUAACUCUUUUUUAAUAAUUUUUUUACAACAGGACACUCUGUUUGAAUUUAUUCUAAAAAAAUAUUUGAAACGGACCAAUCACAAACUGUCACGUAUGCGUUGUCAAAAAGUUAUAAAAAAAAAUAGGUUAAAUAUGUUUUUAGUCCCUAUACUUUGAGACGAUUUUGGUUUUAGUCCAUUUUCAAACUAUGGUACAAUUUAGUCUUUCAACUUUAGAAAACUCUGGUUUUAGUCAUUUUCACCAAUUUUUUUAACUUUAUUUGUUGUUUCAAGCACGUUUUAUUAUAGCAUUUGGAUUGUUUAUACUGUUUGACACUUAACUGAGAAACGCGUUUGAAACAACAAAUAAAGUUAAAAAAAAUUUGGUAAAAAGGACUAAAACCAGAGUUUGCUAAAAUUGAAGGACUAAAUUGUACCAUAGUUUGAAAAUGGACUAAAACAAAAACCGCCUCAAAGUAUAGGGAAUAAAAACAUAUUUAACCUAAAAAAAUUGUUAAAGAGACUUUUUCCAUUAUAAAAAUUUGUUAUUAUAAAUGAGUUUUAUUUUGUAAGUGCAUUUGACUCUUUCUCCAACUUAAUAUUAAAAUAUUUCAUUAUGUAUUUAAAAAAUCACGUAUAUAUAUUUUUAGAAUUAAAAAAAUUAUUUAAGAAUAUGUUAUUGUAAAUGAGAAUAGACUUUGUUUACAAUAUUCCAUGUGUAUCUAUAUUUUCUUAUAACACUCGAUAUUCUAUAUUCGUUUUGAAUUGAAAUACGAAAUCUAUAGGCAGAUAUUAAGCUUGAGUUAGAUUAGAAUAAUCAAAUAUGACUACAAUUAAGUAAGAUUGUGUUUUUGGAAAGAUUAUAAUAUUUUAUUUUUUCUUUUGCAAAGUGUUUAGGGUUUUACAUUCAAGCUCAAUUGUUUAUUAUUGUAUUUAGUGACUAGAUUAUUUAUAAAAAAACUCCCACAUUUUAAGUUAUUAAUGCAUAUUAAAUAUCAUUAUUUAUCUCUUUAUUUUAAAUUUGGAUUAGUAACAACUUAAUUACAAUCUAAUUAAUUAUCUUUUGUUUUAAAUUUAUCAUUUCUCUAUCGACUUACUGUUUAACCUAUUAGUCACCAUCAACUCUAAUACAUUAGUAUGUAACACUAUAAUAAAGAAUAAAAAAUAUUUAAUAAAAUUUAUCCGCCAACUUUAAUACAUUGGUAAAUAACACUGUAAUGAAGAAUAAAAAAUAAUUAGUGAUAUAAACUAACAUAGUCAGUUAAAGUGAAAUUGGAAUUUGACUUGUUUAAAUAAAACGUGAAUUUUGAACCUUCUAAUAGAAAAAGGGAUAUGACUGAAUACAUAUAGAAGAAUCGUGAUUAAUUAAUGAGAAUCACAAAUCUUAAAAAUUAUUGCUUGUAAAAAUAAUACUAUAUUUAGUUUUAUUACAUAAUACUUGAUCAUUGAAUUGGAUAAUAAAUUUGAUACUCCAUUAUUAAAUUAUUGAUUAACAAUAUGUGGAUAAAAUGUGUAUAGCAAUUUUUGCAAAACAGUUCCUCUCCUCACUAAGACCAACAGCUUAAUUAACUGGUUUAUCUCAGUAUCCAAUGGCAUCGUAACAAUUACAGUGUUUAUGUAUUGUGGCAGAAAAAGUAUACCAUGGUAACAAUUAAAUCCAUGUGGCACUUCACAUGGUUUAAACCAGACCACAGUUAAAGAUUAACCAAUGUAGUCUAUUGCCUUAAGUUUUCGUAACACAUGCAUGUGUGGUCAUAUGUUGGUUUAUCUUAACUCUUUUAAAUGUACAAGUCAAUGGAAGAUAAAUCUGUAGUACCACUCUUUAUCGUUUUACAGAAAGUAUUCAUUUUUCUCUUCUAGAUCAUGAACAUUCAAAUAGUGAAAAUUAGACUAUUUGAUCUUUAGUACAAUUUUAGUAUUUUAAAUGGUAUUUAUAUAAUUGUAUUUUUUUUAUAAAAUGAAAGAUAAAAAAUAAGUAAAAUCCUUAUAUAAAUUCGUGAUCUUUUAAAUUUUUGAAACUCUGGUUAAACUGUAAUAGAUUACAUGUAAUAGUAACAUAGCCAAAUUAUCUAGUUGUAAAAGAAAUAUCCAAGUUGUAAGUGAUUUAUUGGAGCUAUUUGGUAGGUUGAGACAGAUAUUCAUAAAGAUGCAUUAAGCAUUUGGUUGAAGGCCGAUACAUCAAUGAUAGAUAAAGCCAUUUUUAAUGCAAUUUCACAGUCAGUAAGCCAUCCAUUCGUUAUAAAUUAUGCUCUCCAAUCUCAAUCUGCUUCAUCCUUUCAUCUCUCACUUCCAACUCUGCCUUCUUCUUUUUCAUCUGCUGUUAUUGGUUGCCAUUUCCAAUGCAAAUUUUCAUCCAUCUCCAAGGUCCACUAGUCUGCUUCUGUUUGUUGUCUGUGUUUUUUGUGGUGAGAAGCUCCAGCAAUGAAUACCACAGGACGGUCCAGGUAGUUGGCCAAGGAGAAUGCGCAGACUGCAGCCAUAACAACAUUAAGACCAGUCAUGCUUUCUCAGGUACAUUUUCUUAUAAUAUGUCAGUAUAUGCUUAGUAUAAUAGCAAUGAUAUAUAUAUUUAUAUAUUCACAAAUCCAUUUAACCAUAUAACUUUGUUUAAUUCUUCAAUCAUUCAUUCAUAUAUUAUACAGUAAACUACUGGUUUUUACCUUUUAAUUAUGCUACUAGCCAGUAUGAAGCCUAAUUCUAUAAUAUAAGAAUCCUGUGCAUUACCUGUGUGUAGGACUACGUGUAGCGGUAAACUGUAAGUCACCUCAUGGACACUACAGAACGAGAGGGGUGGGUGCCCUUGACGAACAUGGAAACUUCAAAGUAUCCCUUCCACAGGACAUGGUAGAAGAUGGUGAGCUAAAAGAAGAUUGCUACGCUCAGCUGCAUAGUGCAUCAGCCGAACCAUGCCCUUCCCAUGGAAACUCAAAAAUUGUGACUGAGUCAGUAUCGGAAGAUACACACACCCUUAAGCCUGCUGCUGGAAAACUCACAUUCUCAUCAGCUAUGUGCACUUCAGCCUUUUUCUGGCAUUUCUUCAAACACCCUCAGUUCCCCUUCCCUCCCAAAGAUGACCACCCAAUAGACCCGCCAGUCCAUAAGGAACCUCUUCCUCCAACACCAACAUAUAAAAAACCUCCUACUAAUUCUCCAUCUCCGGUUACCAAGAAGCCAUACCCGCCAAAGGAAAAGACACCUUCUUCUCCCACUCCCAUUCAUAGGCCUCUUCCUCCUACUACUCCCAUUUCUGAUCCCUCUCCUACUACGCCGCCAUUUUUCAAAUUAUUUCCUCCUUUCCCAUUCAACAAGAAGCCGUGCCCACCUCUAAUUCCCAACAUGGAACCUCCAAACUACUUUCAACAUCCAUGGUUUGGAAAUUGGCCCCCUUCUCAUUCAUAGGCCGCUAAUCAUUGCACUAGCUUGGAGUUGAUUUUUUGUGUUAGCAAUGACGUUGGGAUUGAUUAUUUUCAAAUAAAAUAAAUGUCAGUGGAUGGAGAAAGAGAGCAGAGAAUAACAAAUGAUUGAGCAAUGUUAUCUGAGAAUGUUUGGGUUUGUUGAUGAAUUUGAAUGUGAUGAGUUAAUUAAUAAGUAAACAUUUCUAUUUUAAUUAAUCUUGUAAAUUAUAUUGUUUAGAUGAGUGAAGAAAGAGCGGAUAAAAGAUGAAAACAAAGUUCAAAUUUUAUAAAUCGUCGUGAUUAAUCGUAAAAAAAAUGAAAAAAAGGUUAAAACUUUAUAAAAUGAAUGUGAUUGAUAAAAAAAUAUGGUGGUUGAUUUUAGUUUAUAAUUAUUAUUUUUUCACGCUUUUAAUUUAAAUAAUAAUAGCUAUUUUUUUCUUCUUUUCAACUUAAUAUUUUCUCUCUUCUGUUUAUCACAUAAUUUAACAUUGCAGUGUUUAUUUUCAUAUAAUAUUUUCUUUUAUUAUAAAAUUUAAUUACUUGAAUAAUUCCACUAUUCACUCUUUAAAUUUAUUUAUUUUUAUUAAAAAAUUAUCUUUAUAUAAUAAAAACCAAAUUAAACAAAUGUAUUUAGGCAUUCAAUAUGAUAUUAUUGAUAUAUUAACUACUUUCUUAAAUAACUGACAUUUAGUGAUAUUAGAAUAAUUUUCUAUUUCAUUAACAGCACAAUUCAUUUGCGUUAUUUGUAUCUUAAAGAUUGAAAUAUUCAUCGGUCAACUUUUUUGUGCACUAAAAAUUUGCAUGAUAAAUUUUUGGCAAUUUCUUCUGCAUCCUUUUUUCUUCUUCAUGCACCCCAUAAAUAAUGAUGACAUGAUAUUGACUCUCAUUAAGUGAUUUUUUCCGGGUAGCCCAUUUUGUAAUAUAAUAUCUUUUGAAUUGAAUAAUUUAGAAUAUAUAUUUUUUAUUGUCUUUCGAAUUAAGAUAUUUUUGGAUUUAAAAAUAUAUUUAAGAUAAUAUAAUAUGGAAUGUAUUUAAAAAAAUAUUAUUUUUCUAUUAAAAAGUAUGAAAUCUGAUUAACUAGAAGCACUCUCUUUUCUUGUUUUCGAGAAUUCUUUUAUUUCAGAUUAUAUAAUAUGGAAUGUAUUAAAAGAAAAACAUUAUUUUUCUAUUCAAAAGAUAUGAAAUUUGAUUAGCUAUAAGCAUUCUCUUUUCUUGUUUUCCAGUAUUCUUUCAUUUUACACUCUUACAACCAUUCUCGAAAAUUACAUCAAUUCUCGAAAAACAAAACUGCAAGGUAAAUUAUGCCUUUUUAUUAUAAUUUUAACGAAAAAUAAUUUGAAUUUCAUGGGAGUACAGAAAGAAAAAAGAGUAAUGCAAGGAGAAUGAACCUAUUUUUUUAUAUUUUUUAUCAAUACAUACAAUCUUGUAAUAAUAUUUGGGCUGGAAAGAUGGGCUUAAGCCUUACAAUGUGCAACAUAAUCCAUGCAUUGUAUUUCCUUUGAAAUGGAGGAAUUGAAUUUUAAAAGACGUAAUAUUAUUAUGAUGGUAUAUGAAAAAAUUGUUGAUUUUUGGCAUAAAGUAAAUUAAUAUAUACUAAUAUUAAAUGGAAGAAAAGAAGGUGCCGGGUCUAUGGAGUUGGAGAAAGGAAGGGAGAAAUAAGAUGGAUCCGAUCUUAACUGUAGUGAGUUCACCUAUUCAGAGGGAGCCACGUGUACAAAUGGAACACCAUCACACUAUUUAUACUCCUUCCCCUUCCCUAACACAGUAAGUCACUUUUAAUCUCUCUCACUUUCCUUCGACUCUCAAUUCAAUUGCAACGCAACAAUGCCCAACCCUAGGGUUUUCUUCGACAUGACCAUCGGAGGCCAACCCGCCGGCCGCAUAGUCAUGGAGCUCUUCGCGGACACCACUCCCCGAACCGCCGAGAACUUCCGCGCCCUCUGCACCGGCGAGAAGGGAGUAGGCCGCAGCGGCAAGCCCCUCCACUACAAGGGAUCCGCCUUCCACCGCGUCAUCCCCAACUUCAUGUGCCAGGGCGGAGACUUCACCGCCGGGAACGGCACCGGUGGUGAAUCCAUUUACGGCUCAAAGUUUGCGGACGAAAACUUCAUCAAGAAGCACACAGGUCCUGGCAUUCUAUCGAUGGCGAACGCGGGACCGGGCACGAAUGGAUCUCAGUUCUUCAUCUGCACCGUUAAGACGGAGUGGCUGGACGGGAAGCACGUGGUGUUCGGGGAGGUGGUGGAGGGCCUUGACGUGGUGAAGGAAAUCGAGAAGGUGGGAUCCAGCUCAGGCAAGACCGCCAAGCCCGUCGUCGUCGCUGACUGCGGGCAACUCUCCUAAUGCUCAUUCAUGCAAACGGUGUCGUUUUACUGCUUUGUCUUAUUUUAUUUUAGUCUGUUAAAGUUGAGUGAUUUGAGGUAUUUCUGUUAGGGUUGCUACGGCGGAGUCUUUCUUCCGAUCAUAAAACUCACACUACUGCUGUGCUACGUUAAAUAAAUUUAGGUUUAAUAAUUUUUUAAUCUUUAAUUCCUACUUCUUUUUCGCUUUUAACAUCAUUUUCGGCUUUUUAAUACUUUUUUCGUUGCUAUUUAAUCCUCCACGCAACUUAUAUACAAUCUAUAACAGUAUUAAAUUAUUGUUCACUGUUUAAAAUUUUUAUUAAUAUAUAUAUAUAUAUGUAGUUUUCAUUUAAUGAAAAUCAAUUCCAUUUUUUAAGUAAAUACUAAACAAAGCAAAAACUCUUCAUUGCUAUAUUGGGACAUAAACAACUGGUUUAUCUUCUACAGAAAAUCAUUGAUUAUUUUUUUAUUUUGUUGUCAUGGAACACAGAACAACAUUUGAAAGUUUUGGAUUGACCAUGUAUGUAUUUGUAUUUUAGAUUCAGUAAGGUAUUGUUUGAAAUGUUUUAAAACGCAAAAAUUGAAUUUCAAUGAAAAGUAUUUUAAAUUUUCAAUUAUAUCAAUAAAACUAAUUUAGUUUUAAAUAUAAUAAUUUGAUAUAUAAAUUACAAUAUUUAUUUUAAAUAAAUAAUAAAACUUUAAAAAACAUGUAGAAUUAUAUUAUAAAAUAUAUUAGCUUAUAAGUUUAUAAUCUGGUUUGAUCUAAGUUAAUCUAUUCGCGAUUAAACUUUUCGAUAAGAGAGGAAACUUUUAAUUUAAUGAUCUUUGAUUUAAUUUUAGAUUACAACUGUUUUAUUGAUUAGAUUUAUUUUGUAUGAAUUUUAGACUAUUCUGUUCUACCAAAUCACAAUAUAAAUUACGCCUCUUGGAACAUAUAUAAACAUAGAGAGACUUAGACUACAUAUGCGUUUUGUUUGUAAAUUCCCAUUUUAGAUAAACAAUCUAUUUUAUUUUAAAUAUAAAAUUAAACAAAUAUUUAACUAGUUUUUUGAGAAAUUGAAGUAUAUAUAUUUAUGGGAAAAUAUGUUUUUAAGAAAAAAACAACACAACACUCACGCACGCAUUAUAAAUAAACUGUGGUAUGUCUGGAUUAAUUUAUAAGUUUUGCUCACUUUAUUAUUUUAGUUCUGUCUUGGGUUUGUAUAGUCUGGAUGCAUUUAAUUCAUGACUUCGAUAAAUAUAAUCUAAUCAAAUUAAUUUUUUGUAUGAAUUAUAUUAGAUGGACAACUGGAUUGAGUUGAGUUUUUUUUUUUUUAUAUCUAAUUAUAAUUGGAUUGAGCAAGGAGUUAAUGAAUAUUAAAUUUAACAAUCCAAUUCUACAAUAAAUGUAUAAUAAAACAAUUAUUUAUCUAAUUAUAUUAUAAAAAAAGUAUAUUACAUUAUAUAUAUUAGAAAUAUUGCAAUUAUCUAAUAAUUAUUAAGAAAAGCAUUAAAGUAGUUUGUGAAAUAUUUUUCUUAAAAAUUAAAUAUUUUUUAAAUUACUUAUUUGAUCUAACUUAGCCCCAUUAUAAUUAGGUCGUUAAAUUAAAAAAAUAAAUUGGAUUCCAUCCGAUUAUAUUCAAUUAUAUUAUAUCAAAUUAAAUUAAAUUCGAUAUAAGGACAAGUUUAACCCCUAAUUUAUUGGGUUAUCAUUUUGGGCCGCACUUGUUAUAAUUGUUCCAUCACAUCAAUUCUGAUCUAUAAAAUAUAAUGGUUCCAUCGUGUUGCCAUCGUUACCCUUUGCUGUUACCACCGUCUCUUGCCAUCACUACUUGUCUAUGUUAUAUCAUGAAUAGAUUCAUGUAUUAGAUUAUAUAAUUUAAAAUAAUAUCAACGAAAAAAAAAUCCAUUGCACAAUCCAGAAAGAAAUCAUCUAUUAAAGGUAAAGCGAUAAUUUAUGGAUAUGGGGUGCAGAAAGAAAACCACAUUGGGCUUGGUUGGGGUUGGGAUUGGGCUGAGCUUCUUUGGAUUUGGGUACAUCGGUAGCUGUACUCGGUGUGCAUAGAGUUGUAUACGUAGAAGAAGACGUUAAAUAAGGAGGUUUCCUUCAAAAUCGUAAUGCAUAGUUUCCUCUGUCUGUGUUUCCUCCAAACGUGGAACUAACAUGUUAUUUAAAUUCACUGGAGCAGUUAAAAUUGACCAUUUUCAGUUACUUAUCAUGAUUGAAUGAUUAAUUUAAACGUAAAUACAUUGCAGCAUGAAUGAAGGCAUGCAUUGUCGCGAAGCAGAGCAUGAGGCGGGAAGCUUCCGAAGAGGAAAUGAUGAAAAAGUGGUGAGCCCCUUUGAUCAGAAGAGAGUGAAGGGAUAGUGACAGUGAUAGUGACAUUGAUGGGGAUUGCAGAGAACUCAAAGGGUUUGGUUCUGGCCGUCGCGUCGGGUGUGUUCAUAGGGGCAAGCUUCAUUUUGAAAAAGAAAGGUCUUAAACAAGCUGCUACUAACGGCACUCGUGCAGGUCUUCAUCCUUUUUAGAAUUUUAAUUUUGUUCAUGCUCAUUCUGAUUGCUAUGUAUGCGUGAAAUGUAAGUAAUUUUACCUACAGGAGUUGGAGGCUAUUCUUAUCUACUACAGCCUUUCUGGUGGGCUGGCAUGGUUACAAGUAUUUCUUUUUUUCUCUACUGUUAUUGUUACCAUUCUUAAAGCUUUAUUAUGUUUUUAUUUGGAUAUCAAAACUCACUGUUAUUGGUGGCAGUGUUUAUUGGGGAGGUUGCUAAUUUUGUGGCUUAUAUAUAUGCUCCUGCACUUCUCGUUACUCCCCUCGGCGCACUGAGUAUAAUUGUCAGGUAUCAGUGCCUUAGAUUUCUUGUCAUCAAUCUUAAUAUGUUAUCACAUUGUGACUUCCUGUUCAAACUCGCUCAAUCCAUAUGUGCAUUGGGAUAGUGCUGUUUUAGCCCACUUCUUGUUGAAGGAAAAGCUUCAGCAGAUGGGGAUUUUGGGUUGUGUGUUCUGCAUCGUGGGUUCAGUUCUCAUUGUCAUCCAUGCACCUCAAGAGCACGCUUUGAAUUCUGUACAAGAAAUAUGGGAUCUCGCCACUCAGCCUUGUUCGUUUUCUUUAUCUUUUCCUUAUUUUUAGUUACUCUUGUAUUAAGUUCAUUUGUGGUCUGUAAGUGUCGAUUCUCAUAAUCUCUUUUUUGUUUCAACAGUAUUUCUUGUUUAUGUGACGGUAACAGUGUCGAUAAUUUUAGCCUUGAUUUUGCAUUUUGAACCUCGCUAUGGUCAGAAAAAUAUGCUGGUCUACUUGGGAAUUUGUUCAUUGAUGGGCUCACUUACGGUACUUGUGUUUCACCGAUCACUGUGAUGCAAGCUUUGUUUUGAUAUUGUAAAGCACACACUGAGUAUAUGCUGUCUAAACUAUUCAGGUUAUGAGCACAAAAGCCAUAGGAAUUGCAAUCAAGCUUACAUUAGAAGGAAUAAGUCAAUUAACGUAUCCUCAAACUUGGUUUUUUCUUACCGUGGCUGUCAUAUGUAUCAUUACACAGCUGAACUACCUGAACAAGGUGAGUCCUGGAUAAAAUGAUGUCAACUCUCUUUUAUAGCAACUUACAUUUUUAUAAAAUUUUGUUUGCACUUGAAAAGUCAAUUUGAUUAUGGAAAUAUAAUAAUUUUUUUGUCAUGACUAGAGUCUUAUUUGUAAAUUUUAAGAGUCUCAUUAUCUUACAUCUUACUGUAAUGAGAAUUAAUUUACAAGGUGUAAGUCUUAGGUUUGAGACUCUUCUUAACUGGAUAUGCUUUAAAACUAACUUGCAUUAUGCAGAACACACGUAUUAAGAUUAUGCUCCAAAUCAGAGUUUCAUAACCACACUGCCUAGUUGUACUCUAAUACAAACUCUAUUUAUAAAUUCUUUACUCAUAAGGGUUAAUAGUAACAGUCUAGCUGUGUAUCAAAGGCCUCUGGUAAUAAGCUCAUGAAAGUUGCGACUCUAUAGUACAUGCUUUGGAAAUUUCAUGAUGAGGCUCUAAAGUUUCUGGCAGUCAGAAACCUUUUCCCUCUAAGUCUUUGGCAGAUAACUUCAUGAUAAGGCUAUUUAACAUUAUUGGUAAGUGGUAAUAGUACCUCAUGCCAUUUCCCAAUGUCAUAUUUGUGGAAAUUUCAGAGAAUAUGGUUGUUGCGUGCUUCACAUUUGCAUAUUAGUUAUAUAUCAUUUUCUGCAAAAUAUAUAAUCAAUCGAGCCUUUCUUGACUAGUUAAUUAUAUUUCAGCAAUCAGUCUUAUGAAUUUUAUAUUUUUGUGCAUGAAAAUUGAGUUCUUGCACUUGAUACAAACUUAAUUGUACAGACAAUUGAAAUUAAUGCGUACAAAAAUGAUUCUAUGUUAGUCUUUGGGCUCUUUUGUUGCGAAGAUUUAUUAUUUCAUCACCUAGUUACAGAGACAGGUUAACUGAAUUCUGAUGUUGUUUUUAUCGUCAUAAUAUUUCUUUGCAUAUCAACCAGCUAAAGUUUAUCUUGGUUUCCUUGAUCUGUUGACUAAUCUUGUACAUUUUUUCUAUAUGGAACUGUGUUUCAGGCACUGGAUACGUUCAACACAGCCAUUGUCUCUCCCGUACAUUAUGUCAUGUUCACAACUCUGACUAUUAUUGCUAGUGUGAUAAUGUUUAAGGUAUCAUGACAUUUUCAUAAUCUUUUGGAUUCCUUCGGUGCCAUAUCGAACUCUUUUUUAAAAAAUUUCUGUGCAGGAUUGGUCUGAUCAGAGUGCAAGCAGCAUAGCCUCUGAAAUAUGUGGAUUUAUCAUUGUCCUUUCAGGAACAAUCUUAUUGCAUGCGACAAGAGAAAAAGAACAACCUAACAUGCGAGGUACAAGUUAUGUUACUCUCAAUCAAUUGCUCACACCCGAUCGCUAAUCAUCAGUCUGUUUGUUGUUUGAAGUGUGUGCAUUACAGUUAGUUAACUUUAGAUAUUCGAGCCCAAUACCUCGAACAAAAAGACUCAUGGUUGUAGCUUCUAUUUGCUAUCUAAUGAGUAUCAAUAAUUCAUCCAUCCAUGAACUCUCUUGAUAGCACAGGCAGAGCGAUUUCGUUGCAUGGAGUAAACCUGAUUCGGUGAUGUUUACUUUGCAUUACUGUUUGGUGCAGGGUCCUUAACAUGGUACAUUGGUGAAGACUUGGUGAAGGGCAUUGAAGAUGAACGCCUGAACCUUAUUAUACACGGGUCAGAUUACAUUGAACAGUGACUUUUUCAACGUAAGAGAAUGCAACACUGCAAAGGUCAACCAAGUGGGUGCAUGAUUUGGAGCAUUUGCAACCUGUGUAGUUUAAGAAAUGUAGAAACUAUCUUAUACAAUGUGUGAUUUAAGCAAAUCCUUUUCAAAAUAAAAUAAGGAUUGCUGCCAGCCAGCCACAUUGCAAGACUGGAUAACAAUGCAGGAAUUAAAAUAGGUAAUUUGAAUUAUAAAAACUGAAGAAGGAAUUAAAGAGGAAGAGAUAUAAUGAUGGAGUGAAUUGAUGGUUGUUGGGUUUUUUUGGCUGAAAAUAGAUCCAUCUAUUUGCAGCACAUAAUGAAUGAAUGAAUUUGAAGAGCAGUGUGGAAGUAAUAAAUCGAGGCUUUGACAUGUGAAAUUGUGGUUGGAAAGGAGAAAAAAUUUCUACCAUUUGAAGCAGAUACAGUUCACACUCACACACUACGGAGCUUAUUUUUCCGACAUUUCAGACUCUGUUCAUUAAUUGUGGUGGCUAACUUCACGGCUCACUAAAUACUCAUCACUGCUAUGCCAACGGCUAUUCAAAUUACCAUUACAACUUGUAAUCAACAUGUUUUGUAACAUACAGAUUUUAAAUUUAUAAUUCGGUCCCAGGAUGUCAUAAUCUUGCACGUUUCCUUCCAUAAUUUCCGCUCCUGAGGGAACAGAACACCUCCACCCAUCAAUUAAAUCUCUCAAGAUUUGCGUCUUCGCUGUACUACAUUACUUAGACUUAAUUGUCCUGUUCCAUGACACUUGAAGAUGCAUAUCGAGAAAUUUAUAAUAAGAAAAAUGAUACUUUUACAUAAAUUUUUUACUUUCAUUUACAAUUGCUUUUGUUUGAGUCUUGAAGUGAAGAAUUUACCUAAUUAGUCAUAAUAGUAUACUUUACAAGAACAAUUUUGCUCCGUAAAUUCGUAAAUAUUUUUCUUUCAUUGACAACGUUGAUUUUUAUUGUGAUAAAAAGUUGAUUUUCUAUGGCAAAAACCAUUCUUAAAGUCAUCGGAAUGGUGAAUUAUUACAGACAUUAGCGUAACAUGCUUAUAUUCUGUACAUGGUUCUAUUUUGAUACUAGCUAGCGAUCCACCAUUAAUGAAUGUCGUAUCGUACCACCCUACAUGGUUUGAAUCCCAUUUGAAAAACGAUAUAUGGUACCGCAUUAAAUGUAACAGUUGAGGGUUGGAACUCAGAAAUGAGAGAUCAUUUACUGCUCUUCCACUUUUUUCGUCACUUUAAUUCAACUAUUUAAGUGUUCCUCGCACUCUGAUCACACCAAUCCAUAUCCAUUUCUUUCUUCCUUGCUUUUUGCUUAGUGGGCUUCCAUUCCAGCAUUCAUGGACUUGCAAGGGAAGCUUUUCUUAGCAGCAUUUGCCAUUCUUGCAGCGGCCAUUCAUGAAACGCAGGCAGACACUAUGGUCACUGGCACUGUCUUUUGUGACCAAUGCAAAGACGGACAGAGAUCCCUUUUCGAUUAUCCUCUCAAUGGUGAGUCAGAUCUAAGUCCUUCGACAUUUUGUUCUUGUCUCUGUUGAUGGCGUAUUCAUAGUCUUUCUGAAUUAUGUUUUGAAAAUGUUUACAUCUGACCUUUUCUUACAGACCUCAAAUUUAGUUUAAAGAAACACUAUCGUCUCAAACUCUAAUAAGAGAAUACUUCUAUUAGACUGAUAUUCAACCAAGUGGCAUACAUGACAACUUCAUUAACUUUAGAAUGGUCAAACAUAUUAAAAAGCUACAUAAUAUUCAUUUGUAAUUCACAGUUCAUGCCUUUUACACUCUUAAUUCGCAAAUUGUUUUGAGAUUAUAUAUGUCUACUCAUAUAAUGAUUUAUAUACAGCUGUGUUUUUUUAUAUCUAAAUGUUGUCAUCACAUCAUUUAUUAUUUGUUCUCUUUAUUAAUAAACCAAGUACAUGUAUCUACUUUUUAUCUCCCAUGCUAAAAUCUUGUGAGGUGAAAGAGUUCUUUUUCUUCUUUUUCCUGCUUCGGAUAAAAAGCAUGGACAAGUCAACCCCUUUAUUCUUUCAAUAAAUGAAGUUUGAAAAUAUUACAGGUGGCCAGCUGGUAAUUUAGAUGUUAAAUAAAUAAUGUGGUAACCAUAAAUCUGAUUACUUUUAAAGAUCAAUAUUUUUAAAUUUCUUUUGCACCCUCUUGCUUGCUGCAGGUGCAAAAGUAACUCUGUCCUGUGUUGACAGUAAUGGACAAAUUAUAAUGUCAAGAGAAGAAACAACCAAUUGGUUUGGAAGCUAUACGAUGAGGUUUGAUGGUGCACCGGACUUGAGUGGCUGUUCUGCCCGUGUCUCAGGAAGUGGGCAAGGGUCAAUGGGUUGUGGUGAAGGAGCUGGUCCUUCUCAAAAUCCCAAACUCAUGUUUAGGAUGUUUGACAUGGAGAUGUAUACGGUGGAUUCUCUCCUUGCUCAGCCUUCACAACCCAUGCAGUACUGCUCGAGAUCUUCCAACCCAGUGCCAGCACCAGUCACACCACCCAAUUCUACUCCACAUUUCAAGCUACCUCCACUGCCAGAAUUCCCUCCAUUACCAUCACUACCACCACUACCAUCAUUACCACCCCUACCACCAGUCAUCUUUGCAGAAGCUUCGGCAUGUCCAUCAGAGUAAGUUUAUACUUGACUUAUCAGUUCAAGUAGCAAUGUCAGUAUUUAAGUCAAGAAAAGGGACAUGGGAGAACUUAGCAAGCUCUACCUGUGUCUAAUAUGCAUUUAUGUAGUCGUUCUAAAACAUCAUAAUCUUAUACUACUAUUCAAUAACUAGGAUCAAUUGGUUCCACGUACAAAAUCAGGAUUUUCACAAACAAGUUUGAUUACAAUAUCGAUAAUUUUCUAAAUUGUCUAAAUUGUCAGGAAGUGGACAAUGUCGGAAUACAAAUGCUACUGGAGGGGUGUGAACCGGGACACUAAAGUAGCAGUGGCUUUUGGAAUGGUUGCGGCAAGGAGAUAUGGAACAGACAUUACACUGUGGCAUGGGUUGCAAGGGAAAGGAGAUCCUUACAGGACACUUCUCAGAGAAGGGAUCACUGCACUUCUUAAUUCCUAUAAUAGCUUUCAAUUCUCUUAUCAUCCUAUUGGGGUGGUUCAACACAUGAAUUUGGCUUUGAUGGGUUCAACCAGGAGUGUCCUCCUUACUGCUCUACACUUCAAGAGGGCCAAUUCUGGUGCUGGGAAUGUCACCUGCAAAUUUACCACUUGCAAAUAAUUUAUAGACAUUGAAAAGGAUUGUUUUGAGGGAAUAAUCAGUUCUAUUUCAAAGGUUCUCUGACAACUUUUGAUAAAAAAUUUCUUAACUCAAAAAAAUGCAGGAUAGAAAAUUGAAUACUCUUCAAUAGAUUGUCUUAAUCUUUAUUCUAUAUAUGGAGCUUGGUGUUGUAUGGUUUUUUACCUGCAUAGGCACUGGUAAUGGGACGCAUUUCUUUAGGAUAUUGUUACUACUUACAAGAAUCUAAAAGCACCACUCGAGGAAAAACUGAACUAAUAUGUAUGAAUUUAAGUACAGUGAAAUGGGGUUCUUUCUGCCAGCAUUGUUUGGAUGAGAGAUUCUGUAGUCGAUGAAUAAACAUUACAUGCUUUUCCCAAGCAAAUGCUAUUUCUCAGUAAGUUUCUUUCCGUUUCUAUCUAUCUACAUUCAAUUUAACCAAAUUACCAUAGAAGCAUUAAUCACAUUCCUAAUUGACUAUUAAUGAUUUUGUGCUGUUAAAUAUUCUAAUCAACAUUUUAUUAGAAACACCUAGCAUUAUAAAAUAUAAGAUACUUAUUACAUAUAAAAUAGUAAACACCUUGCGUAAUUAAAAUUAUAUAUUUCUAUUGGACUUAAUAACUUUAGUUAAUGAUAAAAGUUUAAGCUAAUCAAGCAGCUUAAACAUCUAAAAUUUGAAAGAAGUUUUGCUUUAGGAAUGAAAAAACCGAAGGAACAGUACGUUUGUAUCAAUGAAAAAACUAUACACUUAAGCUUUUACAAACUAUACACUUACAAAAGUUAUUAAUCCUAAAAGUUUGUUGACUAAUUUUCUACGAAAGCAACCUCUACUAUUCAUUUGCAGCCAUGCCGCGACAUAUUUCUCCAUUUGUCUUUCAAGUCAACCUGGUAAAAAUAAUUAGAUUAGUAUCAAAAGCAUGAAUUAAAAAGGCAAGUAUGUAUCUAACAACUUCUUAUCAAUCUUACUUCGGUUCUCUCUUCAAAUAUAUCUUUGUGAGCAUUUAGGAUUAGCUUCCAAUUUCCCAUGCCAAACCUGUACAUGUGAAAUAAAUAUAAUGAGGUUGGGAAAUUGUAUUCAAAUGGUAAUUAAUUCUACUUAUAUUCUCAAAUAAAGAAGAAGGGUAUCACAGUUGCAAUGAUAAAACAGCAUAUCAAGAACAAAUUUGUGUGAUCAAAAUUCAUAAGAAAAUCAUGAUUUUCCUAGUUUAGAACAAGGACAUACGUCUCUACGCCAUUCUUAAGUGUCUCUUCUUCUAACUGAGUCCACCUUUUUAUUUUUCUCCUUUUUGUAACGACGGUUGGUUUAUAGAUUUUCAAUGGAGAAUGUUUUCUCCUCUUGGGACUUUGCAAAUUAAAUCUUGAUGUUCCACCCUGCAGAUUAUCUACCGAAUCUCGCUGUAAAAGAGAAUGAACACAAUUACCUUUGAAGACAUUAAUAUUGCAGAUUUUUUAAGACAUUCAGAAAAAGAAUGAACAACAUAAAAAUUACAAAAGGAAAAAGAGGCAUAAAGAUAUUGGAUUGUCAUCAUAAUACAAAAUUAUAAUAUAAAAAAACACAAUUACCUCGUCAACACGUGCGGCAUUUUCCACUGGAUCAGUUUUAUUAUCAUUUAUAUCUUGUGGGCAAGAUAAAUCUGCCUCUAUAGUCUUCUGUACCUCCUCAUUAUCUUCCAUAGUUGUUGUUAAAAAAUCUUUAGCCAAUGCUUGCAAGUCUCCAGAAAUGCAAUCUCGAACCUUUUCAACUUCAACAAUUUUUGGUAAAGAAUCCUGAGCCAACAGCUCCUCAGAAAUGCAAUCCCCAAUCUUUUCAACCCCAGACAUGCAAUCUCCAAUCUUUUCAACUUCAACAGUGGUAGGUAAAUACAAAUUCUCAGCGGCGGCACUGUUACACUUUUGAACUUCUGUUGGACACAAACGCAUUUAAAUUCUAAUUAUUAUGACCAUAAAAUCAAACCAAUAGCAGUUAGUAUGUGUUUAAAUUUGUCACAUAGAACAAUCUUAUUCAUCACAUAGACACAUACUAUCUUCUCAACAUUAAACCAAAAAAUGAAAUUUCAGAUGAUAAAAAUGAUUUGGGAUGAUUACAAUUUAACAAAACAUACCUCCUUCUUCAUUUUGUUGGACCUUAUUCGUGUGCUCGGUGUGCUCGGUGUGCUCUAUAAGUUAGUAAUUGUCACAUAGAACAAUCUUAUUCAUCAUAUGACACAUACUAUCUUCUCAAAACAUUAAACUAAAAAAUGAAAUCUCAGAUGAUAAAAAUGAUUACAAUUUAACAAAACAUACCUCCUUCUUCGUUUAGUUGAGCCUUAUUUGUGUGCUCGGUGUGACCUAUAAGUUAGUAAUUGUCACACAGAACAAUCUUAUUCAUAAAACAUUAAACCAAAAAAUGAAAUCUGCUAAAAAUGAUUUCGGAUGAUACCUCCUUCUUGGUUUCGUUGGGUCUUAUUCGUGUGCUCGGUAGCUGUUAACGGAACAAGAGGAGUACCCAAAACGGUAAGGGCUUCUUCCAAACACGCCCUGAGCUUGAUAAUGGCAUCCCUUCUAGUUUUUACUGCGGCCAAUCGCUCCCUCGCUUGUGAAUCUAAAAGGGAAGUUUCAAUAUCCCUUCUCCACCCCUCCAACUCUACUGAGAACAGAAGGCUCUCUUCUCUGGAACCGGAACUAUUCAUAUACGGAAUCCUAUUCCGCCAUAUCCUGUUCACGGCGCGGAGGUAGAGAGGAUUGUGGCUGUAAAGAUUCAAACGCAAAUACUUGAUCGUGCACUCCACCGCCACGGCACAGUAAGCGGCACUCAUUGUGGCAGUGAUCGGAAAGCCAUCGGAGCGAAAGAGUUCCUCAAGAUGCUCGAGGAUUCUGAGAAAGUUUUCAGUAAUGUUAAUGCGAUCAGAAGAUAGGUGGUUUUGAAGAAUCUUGAGAAGAAAAGUUUUCUUGAAACGGGAAUCGGGAUCGGACAUGGAGACGAUUCGAGUGUCUGGGAGGCGGCUCCGAACAAAGAAUUCCAACAGGCACUGUCCAAGAUCAUCCAUUCUCUCCCUCUGCUUCCACUUCCCUCGCUUCUUCCCCUCUCUUUCUUUUUAAUUUCAAAAAAGCAAGGAUUCAUUUUAUUUCUUUUAUGUAAUAUAAAAAUAUUCAUUUUAUUUUAGAGGAGAAAAUUUAAUUAGCCAAAUACAUUAGGUAUAAAAAUAUUCAUUUUAUUUUAGAGGAGAAAAUUAUGUAUGCCUAAAAAAAGUGACUGUUAAAUAAGUUAUUAUUAUAUGUUAAUUCAUAAUAGUAAUAUGUAUUAUAAAAAUUAAAGUCACUAUUAGAAAAACAAGGUCACGUAAAAUAUCUUAUAUUAAAUUGUUAUAAAAAAAUCUUAAGAAAACCAUGUUUAUAAAAAAGUAAUAAUAGAAUGAUAAUAUUUAGAUGAAAAUAUAGGUAAUUUGAAAAUUCAUAUAUAUAAUUUAAUAAUUAGUUAAAGCAUUUAUUAAUGACAAUGAUAAAAAUUUUGAAAAUCGUGUUUUAGUAAAAUAGUAAAAUUCCAUUGUUUUAAUAUUAAAAUUUUUAAAAUAUAUAUAAAUAAGUUUUAUUAUUUAAUAACACAUAUUUUUAUUUUCAUUGUUAACUUUUUCAAAUUCCUAUAGACCUUUUCCUUUUCUUUUUAUUAUUUUUAUAGCUUUUUCUAUAAACUUAUUGGUAUUCCUAAAGCUUUUCUUAUGAACCUUUUUCUAUUUCUGUAACUGUUUUUCUUCUAUCUAGAUUAUCAAAAUUAAAAAUUUACUUAAAAUAUGAAUAGUUCAAUCAUUUUAUGUUUAACAUUUCUAUUUACAAAGUCAAAUUCAUUUUAAAACCACUGAUAUUUGAUAAAUGGAGAAAUGAUAAGCGUCACACACUACAAAGAUAACUUAAAAUUUACGCUGAAAUACACAAAGAAUGAAACAGAUACAUGAUAAUUAACAAAAGACUUAUUUUAAUCUAAUAUAUUUUUUCCUGAGAAAGACUUAUUUAUUAUUUAAAAAAACAUGUCAUAUUUUUUUAAGUAAAAAAAAAAUACAUUAAGCGAGAAAGAGAGAGAAAAUGUUUUAUAGAGUGAGUCCCACAAAAACUAACUCGUUUUCUUCUAAAUUUUUCUUUCAAAAUCAAAGGGAAAGAUUUAUUUAUUUUUGUAAUAAGUUUGGGUUUCACAAAAUCAAAUAGUGAGGGCCAGAGAUGAAUAAAAAUCAAGCAGUGAGGGCCAAAACACGCUUUAAUGAAGAAAGAGAAGAUUCACAGAAGUGGCAGAUACAUGCCAGGGAAUUAUUAUCACCACGAAAUCAAUGGUUUAGGACAAAAUGAGCUCCAAUAAGGAUGUGAAGUUUGAGGUUGAGGUUUAUUAUAAGAGCAACCUGGAAGAUGAUUUCUAUGCUGUCCAUGUGUCUAACUUUUGUAUGGACAUAUGGUCUCUUUCAACAAUUUAUCAUGAUAUUUUACAAUUCUUUUUAAUAACUUUUUGAUAAUACAGAUAUGUAUUAUUAUUUUAUUAAUUUAUUUAAAUUUAUGUUUAAAAUUAUUUUGAAACAUAUCAAUCAUAAACUGUCACGUAUACAUUUGUUAAAAAAAAAUUACUAAAAAAAUUUUUCUUUACACAGAUAAGCUACAAACAAAGAUGAAUACUGAUUUGGAUAGGACAACUAUUACAAGUGGACCAAUCAAAGCCUUGACCACCAUUUUCAUUCCAAAGCAUAUCCUUAAGAUAUAAAUCACAGAAAAUUUUACACAUGUCAUCAUAUCAUAAUUUCAUAACCUUUGUCAUGUUCUCAAUCCUUUUGGUUAAUAAUUGAUUAAAAAAAAACAUUUUGACUUCUCCAUCAUUCAUCCACAAUGUUCAUUGUUUUCCUUCAAAUUUGUUAUGGAUACUAUCAAAUUUAUAAUACAAUUGAUUGAUAAUACCAACACGGGACCAAAGAAGUAAGUGAUUGUAUUAAAAAACAUUGUUGAUAUUUCUUAUUAAGCUUAAUAUUUGGACAAGAGUUUGUUGAUGCUGUCACUUUAGUAUUGCUAGUAUGACUUUCUUUUUUUCUUUUUUAACUUUAGAUGUAGCUUUUUUAUAUUGGGUAUUAUUUUUAUACCUCGUUUUUUAAACUAUUCAUGAGACUCAACGAGUUAAUCUAACCUAAAAUAAGAAAAUAUUUUAAGAUAUAAUUAUUAGUGAAAAUAUUCAUAUAUAUUAUUAAAUAUUUGUAUAUUGUGAUUUUUUUAGUACAUGUAAAUCAGAUAAAAAUUCAUAUUAUCUCGUUAAUUAUUAUAUAUAUUACAAGUCAUAAUAUUUGUUGAUAUUUUUUUAUAUUGGUAAUUUUAUUACACGAGUUAUACAAUCUAAAUUUUUUAUAAAUAUAUAUAGUAUUUUAUUAAGAAAUAUAUACAUUAUCUUUUGUUCAAAAUCAUCUAAACUUUUUUUAUUUGAACCUUAUAUACCAGGGAAUCUUAUCUUGUAUUCUAACUUUGUAAAAUACAUAUAAGAAUAUUUUAAUUAUUUGAUAUUUUGUCAUUUAUUUGAAGAUCAUACUUAAAAUUUCGGUAAAAACAUUACUUUGUAUUACUAAAUUUAAUUUAAGUAGAAAUUCAAUAUUUAUUGUUUGUAUUAGUUGUAUAUUGUUAAAUUAAUUAAAUAAACUAUUGUGCUGUAAAUUUAUAUUAGUGUAUUUUUGGGAUAUAUGAUGUGACUAGUUUAAUCCGAUAAUUUUGAGAUACACAUGGUUUACAGAAAAUUAAAAUGUAUAGAAAUGAAUUACAUGGAUGAUUUUCUUAUAAUGCAAAUCUAAGUGGAUGUUAGCUUAAAUGGGUGAUCCAUCUCCCUACCAACUUUGUUUACAGCUGGCAGAGUAUCCACUUCAGAAAGAAGAAAAAAAACGUGUUUUUUUGUAUUUUAUUCAAAAAUGAUAUUUAUUAAAAAACUCGUGUAAAAAAUAAUUUUCUAAUUUCAAACAGUAAAAUAAUAUGUUUUUUUUUAUAAUCUUAUCAUAAAUAAAACAACUCCUGCACACAGUAUUUAAGGGUUUUGAUAUUGUGACAAAAUCUGAAUUGCUAAAUUGAUAAUCCAACUGUUUAAUUAAGUAAUUCAAAUUUAUCAAAAGAACUGUUUAAUUAAUUAAUAAUUGGCCAUAAAGCAGUUGCAUAAAAAACUUUUAACUACAAAAAAAGAAAGAGUAAACAUCUCAGAAUCUUUAUGGUGGGAUUAACUUUUUCUUACAAACUGCAAAUGGUUAAGAACUUAGUAGUAACCAAAAACAUUAAACUAGAUUUCUAUUUAGAAAAAAAAAAAAAAAAACUACUAACGAAAAACAGAGGUGCAUGUAAAAGAACAGAGGAGUUUCGAAAACAACAAAAACUUAUCUUUUCUAGUAUGUAAAACAACCCUGUUUGUAGUUUUGUUUUACAGACUUUAUUUAUAUACGGUCAUCACCUAAUGUGGUUAGUUGAGUAUAGUGGUGAAGAAGCAAGUGGGGCUAGGCAAAGGUGUGUCAAGAAGCGAAGAAAAAACUUGUGUGGUGGUUGUUGCGGUGGGUGGCAGUGCGGUGAACAUGGGUUCUCAAGUGUCUAAACAGAUGGAACGGAGAAAGACAAUUCACACAGAGAAGAAAGUUCUCUCCGAUCUGAAAACGUCCGGAGAAGAGUACCCUGGCUCUGAGUACCGUCCUCAAGACAGGAAAAACUGGAUGUCUGGUCUGAACCCAGAGAAACUACGCAUCAACCAGAUCGUCUGGCCUGGGACGCACGAUUCUGCCACCAACAAAAUCGGCAUCCCCCUCGUCACUCGUCCUUUCGCCCAGUGCCAAUCGCUCUCCAUAUACCGGCAGUUGGUCCUUGGUACCCGCGUCCUUGACAUUCGGGUCCAAGAAAACCGUAAAAUCUGCCAUGGCAUCCUGGUCACCUACAGCGUGGACGUGGUCCUGAACGACGUGAAGAAGUUCCUGUCUGAGACACAGUCGGAGGUGAUCAUCCUGGAGAUCAGAACAGAGUACGGGCACGAGGACCCACCCGAAUUCGAUAAGUACUUGGAGGAGCAGUUGGGGGAGUUUCUGAUCCCUCAGGACGAGGGCGUUUUCGGGAAGAGCAUAGCGGAGCUGUUGCCGAAGAGAGUUAUUUGCGUGUGGAAGCCCAGAAAAUCGGCCCAGCCCAAAGCAGGGAGUCCUCUGUGGAGUGCGGGCUUUCUGAAGGAUAAUUGGGUGAACACGGAUCUUCCUUCCACGAAGUUCGACGCUAAUUUAAAGCACUUGAGCGAGCACCCACCCGUGACGUCGCGCAAGUACUUCUACAGGGUGGAGAACACCGUUACGCCAGUGGCCGAUAACCCUGUUCUGUGCGUGAAACCCGUUACACGACGGAUUCAUGGAUACGCCAGGCUCUUCAUCGCUCAGUGCUUCGCUAAAGGCAUCGCUGAUAAGCUUCAGGUUCUCUCCACCGAUUUCAUCGAGGAGGAUUUUGUUGAUGCCUGCGCCGGACUCACUCAUGCAAGGGUCGAAGGCAAAGCCUGAACUCACCUGUUUCAUGUCUGUCAGUCAUGCUUUUCUUUCUCAAUUUCUUUUUUAUUUUAUCUGUACAUUAUUAUAUAUGCUUUCAUCAAUCUCCUCUUGUACUGUGAAUAGAUUGGAUUCUGAAUUGUGAACUGUGAAUUGUGAGGAUAUUUUCCAGAAUGUCUGUCAGAUGCGUGUGCAAAAUAAAUCGAAAUUAUAACUGAAAAACAGUUUCUUACAGGUCCUUCAUUCUGUCAUCCAAUUAUCAAAUAUGUUCUAUAAUUGUACAGUUUCUUUUUCAAAACUUUAGACAAAAUAUUCUCACACGAUACCAACUUUGAAUUAAUUACACAGCAACACAAACAAAAAUAUAUAUAUAUAUAUAUAUAUAUAUAUUAAAUAUUAUUAUUUAAUUAUUUAUAAUUUCAAGAAAGAUAUUUAUUUGGAAUAUAAAUAUUAUUUUUAUCUCCAUGGAGUAUAUGAAAAAGCACAAGUUACUUUUAUACAUUUUUUAAGUUGAAAUUUUGAAAGUGAUCGUUUCCUAUAUACUACCUGUUAUUAAAUCUAGUCGUGGGUGUAAAGGAAAACUGCUUGUGUAAUUCGUGAUUCAUGGAGUACUCGUCUCUUUGAUUUUCAGGUCUGAUGUAAGAUUAUGAAUUUUUUAAGCAGUCAAUAGUUAUUGUUCUUGUUCAAGGGGUAGAGAAUCUUCCGUUAGACCAUUUGUGAAUAUGAAUUUGUGUUUGUUCUCUUUAAAAUGAACAUUCUUUCUUUAUUUAUAGAAUUUUUUUUCCCUUCUCCUUUUUUAGAUUUUAAGAGGUUAAUGAAAUCAUUUCCAAAAGAUUCUUUUAUGUGCUGUAUACAUUAAUUUUUCUUUGAAAUAAAUUAGGCAGGUUAAGUUAUAACUUUAUUGUAAUUUGGGUUGUUAUAUUUUUAAGUAUAAAGAUGUGUAUUUUAACUAUUAGUCAUAAUUUUUAAUUUAGUGAUAAACGCUUGAUCUAAUAAUUGAUGUUUGAUCUAACCAUUAAUACAAGAGUCAUGAAUUUGAUUCACAAUAAUACAAUUGUUGAAGAGAGAUAAUUGCAUAUUACAUAAAAUAUCUCAAAAGCUUAUGCUAAGUGGACUAAAUCACACUCGAAGAUUCACAGGACAAUUAUGAAUCAUGAUAUUUGAAUAGUUGCUCGUUUAAUUAAAAAUAAAUAAAAUUAUGAUUUGUCAUUCCAUCCUCAAUGUCAAUAAAACAAAGAAGAACAUGUUCCCCAUUUCAUGGUCCAAAAAUUGGAUCAGUCAACAUAGGUGAGAGAUAUUCCAAACCAAGAUUAACAAAAUUGUGGUACAAAGCAACAUGUUUGUUGAAACUUUAUUUGACAUAACGUUGGUUGGAUUGGAUUAAUAGGUUACUGAAUAGAAGCAUGUUGUCUUUUUCAAAAAAUUUCUUAUACAUUAUGGCUUAGUAUGUUGCCAACAAAGUUAAAUUUCCAAAAAUAGUGAAUAUAAUUGGUGUGAUUAAAAGUGUCAAAAAAAUUCGCAAAUAUGGAUAUUUGCUGAUAAAGUCCGCGGAGAAUAAAGUUCGCGGAGAAUAGUUACUAUGCACGAAUAUUUAUUACGUGCAAAUAUCCAUAAAUAUUUACUAUGUGCAAGAAUGAGUAGCGAAUAUUUUAAUAUCCGUUUCUAAACAUAGUAUACUACCCGACCCGCAGGUAUAUGUUAUCUACAAAAAAUAAAUAAAAAAUAAUUUAUAUAUUUUAAAUUAAAUUUAAUUAGAAAUAAAAUUAUAUUAUAUUUUAUUAGGUUAAUUUAAUUAAAUUUGAAUUGUAAUUUACAUUUUAUUUAAUUUAUAUUAUAUUAUAUUUUUUCUUUUGUAAUCUUAUUUUAAAAAUAUAUAAAAUAUUUUUUUUAAAUAUUUUAAAACCCGCAUAUAUUUUCUAAACGGAUACUCGACAUAUAACGAAUUGGAUUGCAGGUAUAAUUUUAUCUGGUGAAUCGGAUUGCGAGUAAGUAUUAUUCGUAUCCAAUUGGAUACCCGUUAUCAUCCCGUGACACAAUAUAAGAAAGAUGUUUUGGCAUUUGAUUGUGAUGAGAAUAAAGUAAUACGAGAAAGUGAUACAUAAAAGGGGAAAUGAGUUGUAUCUUAGGAGAAUUUAGUCAAAUUAUGAAAGUCAUGUUGCUUAUUAGUGGCAAAAAAAAUUUUACAUGCCAAAGAUUAUUCCAUGUUCAAUCAAUAAAAACCUCAAAAGAAACUAUAAAUUAUAUAUGCAUAUUAAGUGGAAGAAAGUGCAGACUCCUGUGUGCAUAGUCUUAUUUUAGUAAAUCCAAUAGUUUCAUAUUACUUCCAAGUUGAGAUUAAAAGUAAAUUAUAGACAUUUUUCUCUAUUAACUCUCAUAUGUGAAUUUUAAGUAAAUUUCUAAAUAUGAGAAUGAAUAUUAAUCAUGUUUAGCAAAUUUAAAAUUAUAAUAUUGGGAUAACAUUUUUUCUUAAAAAUUUUAAUAUUAUAAUAAGAAACUAGAUUUUGAAAACGUUAAAAAUGGUAAAAAAAUAUUAACAUAAAAAAUAUCUCAAACUAUUUUAGAAUAAUAAAAUUGAUGUGUAAUUGUAAAACUACUGUGUAAAAAAACAAUUGUCAAGUGAAAUAUUUUAGAAUAAUAAAAUUGAUAUAUAUUAGUAAAACUACUAGGUGUAAAUAACAAUUUUCAAGAUAUCACACAGCUUGAAUUGCACUAUAAGGAAUCGGGGGUUACUCCCUAUACCUCCCCAAUUCUAACCCCCACCCCCCAUUCCAUUUUUAAGAUUUGUUUUAUUAGUUUACUUUUUAUAUUAAUUUUCAGAUAUUUUAAUAAUGGAAUUUAUAUGUUUUGAUGUAUUAUUUUUAAAUAUAUUUUUAACGUAUAAAUGGGAGAGUGAGAGUUGCAGAGAGCGUUUGGAAGAGGAGCGUUUCAAAAGCUUUGGGGGGGUGGGGGGGGGAAUACGAAGGAGAGGAAUUUGAAUCUGUGUGUUUUGACUGAGACAGACUGUAAAAGAGUAGGUUAACUUUAGUAAAUAGGUGUAAAACGGUAAAAAUAAAAAAAAACAUAAAGAUUAAUUUUGUAUUUAAAAAAAAAUCCAAAAAAAUUGGGGGGUGGGGGUUGGAAUUGGAGAGGUACAGGGAGUAACUCCCUAAGGAAUCGGCUUUUAAAGAUGGAAAUGGACAGGGGAUUAUAACCAAUUUUGGGCCAAAAUAAUUUCGAAGUACUGGACCAGCUUAAAGGGGUUUCUUCCUGCAUCUUCGUUAUUUUCUCCUUACACCCCAUUGUUUUCUUUCUGCACCUCUAAAUUUUUCCUUGCUUUCCAUUUUGCCGCUGUAAUUAUAUAUAUUUAUUAAAUAUUUUAAUUCAUUUACAUCUUUUUACUACGUCUCAUACAAUCAAUCGAAACCCUUUCACAGCCAUUCACCAAGGUAAAGUUUUUUAUUUGAAGUUGUACUGGUGGGUGUGGAUUUUUCAGCGUGGUGAUUUGAGAGUGGGGUGUAUGUAAGAAAAACUAGAUUACUUGAUUUGUUUUUGAAGAUUCUGUUAAUUGGAACAUGAAAUUUGAUUCGGAUCUUCGGAUGCAGGAAUCAAAACCAGAUUAUCUGUAAUAAAUCGGAUAUUGAAAUUCGAUGAAGUUGUAUAGAUCGAAUUUCAUGAUCCUCUGGGAAAUGUUAGGAGUAAAUCUCACUUGACAAAUAUUAUAUUUAAUGUCACAAUUAGUAAGUGUUAUGCAUAAUAACAACGUUAAUGAAAAAUCUAGCCUUUAUAUAUUUUUAUUUAUUAUUUGGUGACUUAUGUUUCUCAUUUUGUUGUGUUAUCUAUUAAAACAAAAAACAUUAAAUACCAAAACCGAAUUUAAACUAUUAGAGAAAUACGAAAUUUUCUUAAAACAUCAAAUCAAAUCAAAUCUUACAAUAUCUUUAACAAUCCCCUAAUGAGUUUGAAUCUCACUGUAAUACAUUCUAAACUACUUAAAUAUUCAUAUAUGAUAUAUUACCCUUUUAUAUGAAUAUUAGUUUUAAAUUAUUCUUUCAACCAUUCUUAUACUUAUUAGAAUCCUGUCAAAUAGUGAAAUUACUAAUUAAGUUAUCGAUAACAAUAUAUAAAUGCAUUAUAUAUAAAUGCAAUAUAAUAAUAGAUAUAUUAUAAAUAAAAUAAAUUAUAGUUAUUGAAGUAAUAAAUAUUAUAAAUAAUUGUGUGAAUAAAUUUUUGUUAUGAAUAAUUAUUUAAAUUUGAAAAAAAUAGGUAUUAAAAGAGUAAAAUUGUAUAUUAGUUUUUCUAUAAUGAGUAAUUAUUUGAGUGUCAUAUCGCAGAGCACGGCGGGUUCAGUGAGCAAUGCGGUGGAAGUUGGAGAGAAAAGCUUAAAGCAUCAUUAUGCUGUUUUCAUGGCCUUGCAUAAGUGUCAGGUUAGGUUGCAGAGGCUAUUUAUUUCUGAUUUUUGAAUGCCACUGUUUUCUAAUUCUUUGGGCAACUUUUGAUAUUAGGGACAGGUAAGAAAUGCGAAUUUUAUUUAUUCAUUUAUUUAAAGUUUAUUAUAUUUUUGUAUUGUAAGAAUAGUAAAAAGUAUAAAAAUAAAAUACAAAAGAAAAUGGAAAGUAGAUAAAAUGGAAAAAUAAAAUAAAUUUACAAAACUAUACGAAAUAAUAUUAAAGCUUCUAAUGUAUGAAUUUAAGUAUUGUUUGGAUGAGAAAUUCUGUAGUCGAUGAAUAACCAUGACAUGCUUUUCCCAAGCAAAUGCUAUUUGUCAGUAAGUUUCUUUCCGUUUCUAUCUAUCUACAUUCAAUUUAACGAAAUUACCUUAGAAGCAUUAAUCACAUUCCUAAUUGACUAUUAAUGAUUUUUUUUAUUAGAAACACCUUGCAUUAUAAAAUAUAAGAUGCAUAUUAAAUAUAAAAUAUUAAACACCUAGCGUAAUUAAAGUUACAUAUUUGUAUUGCACCUACUGACUUUAAUUUAUGAUAAAAGUUUCAACUAAUCAAGCUGCUUAAACAUCUAAAAUUUGAAUGAAGUUUUGCUUUAGGAAUGAAAAAACCGAAGCAACACCACAUUCUUAAUUUUUACACUACAUUUCCUUCAAAAAGCUAAUAAUCCUAAAAAGUUUGUUGCCUAAUUUUCCAUGAACUCAAACUCUAUGAUUUAUUUGCUCCAUAGCGUGUUAUAUUUCUCCAUUUGUCCUUCAAAUUAACCUGACAAAAAUAAUUAGAUCAGUAUCAUAAGCAUGAACUAAAAAAGCAAGUAUAUAUCAACAACUUCUUAUCAAUCUUACUUCGGUUCUCUCUUCAAAUAUAUCCUUGUGAGCAUUUAGGAUUAGCUUCCAAUUUCCCCUGCCAAACCUGUGAAAUAAAUAUAAUGAGGUUGGAAAAUCGUAUUCAAAUGUUAAUUAAUUCUACUUAUAUUCUCAAAUAAAGAAGAAUAUCACACUUGCAAUGAUAAAACAACAUAUCAAGAAAAAAAUUGUGUGAUCAAAAUUCAAAAGAAAAUCAUGAUUUUUCUACUUUAGAACAAUCACAUACUUCUCUACACCAUUCUUAAGUGUCUCUUCUUCUAAGUGACUCCACCUUUUUGUUUUUCUUCUUUUUGUAAAGGCGUUUGAUUUAUAGAUUUUCAAUGGAGAAUGUUUUUUCUUAUUGGGACUACGUAAAUUAAAUCUUGAUGUUCCACCUUGCAGAUUAUCUUCUGAAUCCUCCUGCAAAAAGAGAAUGAACACAAUUACCUUUGAAGACAUUAAUAUUGCACAGUUUAAUUACAAAUCUUUUGAAGACAUUCAUAAAAGAAUGAACAACAUAAAAAUUAUAAGGAAAAACAGGCAUAAAAAAAAAAGAUAUUUGUCAUUCCUAUAAAUAAACAUAAAGUCUUUUCUAAAGAGUCAAAAGAAAUCAUAAUAAGAAAUUAUAAUAUAAAAAGAUACAAUUACCUCAUCAACACGUGCUGCAUUUUUCACUUGAGCCACCUCAUCAUCACUUAUAUCCGUGGAGCAGGAUAAAUAUGUCUCCUCGUUAUCUUCCAUAGUUGUUGUUAAAGAAUCCUUAGCCAAGGCUUGCAUCUUCCCAUAAAUGCAAUCCCCUGGUAAAUGCAAAUUCUCAGCAAUGAAAAUAUGAUCAAGUUUAAAUUCUAAUUACUAUGACCAUAAAAUAAAACCAAUAGCUAUUAGUAUGUGUUUAAAUUAUAAGUAUGAGUUAUAAGUUAGUAAUUCUCACACAGAACAAUCUUAUUCAUCACAUAGACACAUACUAUCUUCACAAAACAUUAAACAAAAAAUGAAAUCUCAGAUGAUAAAAAUGAUUUGGAAUGAUACCUCUUUCUUCGUUUUCUUGGGCCUUAUUUGUGUGUUCUGUAACUGUUAACUGAGCAAAAGGAGAACCCAAAACGGUACAGGCUUCGUCGAAAAACGCCCUGAGCUUGAUAAUGGCAUCCCCUCUAGUAUCUAUGGAAGCCAAUCGCUUCCUCAUUUGUGAAUCCGAAAGGGAAGUUUCGAUGUCCUUUUUCCAUUGCUCCAACUCCACCGAGAAUGGAAGACUCCCUUCUCUGGAACCGGAACUAUUCUGAUGCGGAAUCCUAACUUGCCAUAUCCUCUUCACUGCGCGGAGGUAGAGAAGAUCGUGGUGAAGAUUCAGAUGCAGAUACCUGAUUGUGCAUUCCACCGCCACGGCGCAGUAGGCGGCACUCAAGGUGGCAGGAACCGGAAAGGCAUCGCAAAGAAAGAGUUCUUCAAGAUGUUCGAGGAUUUUGAGAAUGUUUUCGGAGAUGUUGAUGGUCGGAGAAGAAAGGUCAUUUUGAAUGAUUUUAAGAAGGAAUAUCCUUUUAAAACCGGAAUCAUGAUUAGACUUAGACAUGGAAAAAACUCUAAGCAUAUUUUUGACCAUAUUAUCUUUCUCUUCUGGGUCUGGAAAGGGGCUCCGAAUAAGAAAUUCUAAUAGACAGUGCCGAAGAUCAUCCAUUCUCUCCAUCUGCUUCCCCUUUCCUUACUUCUUCACUCUCUUUUUAAUUUCAAUAACUAGCCCAACGGUUCAUUUUCUUUCUUUUAUAUAUAUCAAGAUAAUUAUUUUAAUUAAUGUUUUAUUAAAUUAAAUAUUAUUGACAUAUUAUAUUUAAUCAGCCAAAUAUAUCAUGUAUAAAAAUAUUCAUUUUAUUUUAGAAUCGAAAAUUAUGUAUGCCUAAGAAAAGUGGCUGUUAAAUAAGUUGUUAUUAUUAUAUGAUAAAUCUUAUUUUAAAUUGUUAUAAAAAAAUCUUAAGAAAACCAUGUUUAUAUACAUAUAUAUACAGCUUUCUCUGAAAACCUUUUCAUUUCAUAUUCCUGUAGCUUUUUUUAUAAACCUGUUUGUAUUCUAAUAGUUUUUCUUUUCCCUAUGAACCUUUUCCUCUUCCUUCUGUUUUUCUUUUAUUUAGAUUAUCUAAAUUAAAAUUUUAUAAUAGUUGAACUAUUUUAUGUUUAACAAUUUUAUUUACAAAGUCAAAUUCAUUUUAAAACCAUUGAUAUUUAAUAAAUGAAGAAAUGAUAAACAUCACAAACUACAUGUAAAAUUUACGUUGAGUACACAAAUAAUAAAACAUAUACACGAUAAAUUAACAAAAGACUUAUUUUAAUCUAAUAUUUUUUUUUUCCUAAGAAAGACUUAUUUAUUAUUUAAAAAAUAUAUAUGUGAAUAUUAUUUCUUACAAACUGCAAAUUAUAUAUGUGAAUAUGAUUUCUGAACGACAAAUGGUUAAGAACCUAGUAGUAACCAAAAACAUUAAACUAGAUUUCUGUUUAGAAAAAAACUGCUAACGGAAAACAGAGGUGCAAGUAAGAACAGAGGAGUUUCGAAAACAACAAAAACUUAUCUUUACUAGUAUGGAAAACAACCCUGUUUGUAAUUUUGUUUUGCAGAGUUUAUAUAUAUAUAUAUAUAUAUAUAUAUAUAUAUAUAUAUAUAUAUAUAUAUAUAUAUAGUCAUCACCUAACGUGGUUAGUUGAGUAUAGUGGUGAAGUUUAAAUUGAAGUUUUGAAAGUGAUGGUUUCCUAUAUACUAAACGUUAAAACAAAUAUAAUUUUAAAAAUAUAUAUACAUAACUGUGUAAGAAUGAUAUUACAAAACGUUAAAACAAAUAUAAUUUAAACAUAUAUGAUAUUAAAAAUUCAUAUGAAAAUUAUUAUUUAAUUAUUUUAAAAUACAAAAUAUAUUUAAUUAUUAAUUUUAUUAAAUAAAUAGAUUAUUUUGUAUUUAUUAGAAAAGUUAGAAUAGUUAGGUUAAACGAUGACAGAUAACAUUUUUUUUUAUACAAUGGUGUAAAUACAAGGAUUUAAAUAGGUGAAUUUGUCUUUGGAAAGGAAAUAAUCCAAAUUCAAAUGUAUCCAUACACUAAUCUUGUUUAUUGCACUCUCAUGUGAUUCUACCAUUUUUUAGUGUCUUAAAUAUGUUUAUUGAAAGUUUAGUAUUAAUAAUAUAUAUUUUUAAAUAUUAUAAAUACAACUAAAAUCAUCAAUCAAGAAAUUUAAACUAUUUAACCCAAUAACAACAAUAAACCAUUAUAAUAAAUGGAUUUCAUAAGUGACAAGUCUUGAAAAAAUUCAGAAGUGUCAAAAUAAAUCUACAAAAUUUUUAAAGAUACAGAAUAUAUAAAAUAAAUUAAAAAUAAAUAAAUUUUAUUUAUAUAUUAAAAUUCGGGGGCGACCCUUUAUUACAAACCAAGAGUAGAUUUGAUUACACCAAUUUAUUGUUAUUGUAAAUUAUAUUUAUAAACAGAUUAUAGAACUUUUAGUUUGAUUAAAUAAUAAUUUUCUGGUAUUUUUGUUUUUCGUACUCCUCAACCUAUGAUAUUUAUCAUAUAUGCAUCCAUGCUGAGGUAAAAAUAUUAAUUAAAAGUUGAGUAAAAAAUAAUUUUAUAUUUUUAUGCAAUAAAAAAUAUUUGUUUUUAAAUACCACUAUUUUUACAUGUUGUAUAAGUGCACAGUAAAAACCCCAUAGGUCAAUAUUAAAUUUAAAGUUUACAUAGAUAAAUUGGUAAUAUCUUUUACUUUAAUUGAUGAAAAGAUAAAUUUGCCCACGUAAAAAAUGUGUUAAAAGAAAAUUCAUGAAGACAAUUUUUUUGACAACGGAACACGUGUCAUUACUUUAUUAGUCUAUUUGAAUUUAUUUUUAAAAAAAUAUUUAAAACGAAUCAAUCACAAGUUGUCACGUAUGCGUUAUAAAAAAUUGUUAAAAAAAUAUUGUUAAAAGUACAUUUUCCUUUUUAUAUGUACGAACACAAUAUAAAGCAACCACGACCCAUAUGCUCUUCUCUUCCAUGGACGAUUUCAUGCAUCUAAAUUUGCCCUAAUUCUCCAUCUCUACGCAUCAAAAGAGUUUAUAUGGAGAGAGAGAGAGGAGGGGAAUGGAUUGAAAUGGACUUAUGCAAUUUAAUUAAAACCAUUGACGUUUUAUCCAAUUCGCAUGCAGGCUUAAAUUCACGUAGUGCUUUUUAAGGAUAAUGCUACUUUUAUAUCAUUUUAAAUUUAAAAUAAAUUAUUUUUUAAUAUAUAUCUUGUAUUUUAGAUUUAUAAUGAAUAAUUAAAGUAAUGUAAAGUCAUUUCUAAUCAUUUAAUAAGAAUAUUGAAAUUUAAUUCUUUUAAUAUAACAAUGAAAUAUAGUGGAUUGAAAAUAUAGAAAAUUAAUAUUAAGGGUGGAUAAAAUUAACUCAAUUGUAUUAAAUUAUUAAUUAACUAUAUUAUAUUGAAUAAAGAAAAACUGAAUUAUUUACAAUAAAAUUGAAUUGUCCUAUUUUAGAGUUUAGUUUUAGAAAAUUCAACAUCUAAAGGUAUGGUUGAGAUAAAUACUCAUUAACUCAAAACUAAUUCAUUUUACAUAUUUUUAAUUGUUUGAGAGUUUUCAAAAUUACAUUUUAGUUUGACUAUUGUCGAUAUUAGAUCAAAUUUUGUCAAUUUUCGAUAGAAACUAACUUUUUGAAUUCAAUCGAUUUUUGACAAGGGUCAACUCAAUCAAAUUUCGUUUUGAUCUCACCUUACUCAUAUCAACUUUUAAUUUUAUUUCUUUAUAGGACAAUGUAUAUUAUGAAUACAAUGGAUAGAUACUAAUUAAUUUAGUUUUAAUUUUGUACAGUUUAGUUUAAAAUUAGUAUAGUUCAAAAAUAGGUUAGAUAGUAAAAGUUCAAUUGAGAUUAUAGAUGAAUACAAUUAGUUCAAUUAAAAUAAACUAAUUUUUGCUUAUUGCAAAUUUUAAUAAUACGCAAUUCAUUUUACCUACCUCUAACUAAAAGGAUUAAAUGAGAGAAACAACAUUCUCCUCCUAUUACUAUAAAAUUUAGUCAUGAAAUAUUUAUUUACUUAUAUUUAGUUAAGUAGUACAUAUUUUUUUUAAAAAAAAAUUCUCAUCUUAAAAUGUAUAAUAAAUUAAAUGACGAUCUUUCUUCCAUUGCUUAUCUAGAAGACGAGUGACAUAUCAAAAUAGAUUUAAAACUUCAAGAUUUUUAUAAUUUCCAAGAGAACUCUGUAACUAAUAACUUUCUACAACUUCAAGUAGCUAAGCCACAACCAUGUGAAAAUGUUGUCGAUGACUUUCAUCAUUCAGAGCAUAAAGAAAUGGCUCUAAUACGAUAUGUAAUUAAUAUAUCGUUCCAUUAAGAGUGUGUGUGCAUGAAAAUCACUCACUCAGUAUAAAAAUAUUUUAUGUAUGGCAAGAGUUAGAAGUCGAUUAAUAACCUCAAACUUAUAAGAUUUACGUUAAUGUAGUGAAUUAUAGACGGAUCUUAAUGGUUACAGGAGAGACAUUCACCCCAAAUAUUUUUAAAAUUUAUAUACAAUUUAAAAUAUGUUUUUAAGACUUUAUUUCAUUUUAAUAUAUUUUGUAUUUAUAUAUAAAGAUUUUAACAUCUCAAUAUGUGUUGAAGAGCCAAAAAUGACUUUGGUUAAAAGAUUGAAAAAUAUUAAAUAUAAGUCAUACUCAAUUUCAACAUGCAAUCUAUGUUAGUAAUAGUUUAUUUACUUACACUUGAGAUUUAUGCACUUCAAAGGCUGUAACUAAAUUAAUGUAAUAAUUAAAGGAAUUAAUUAAAAAAAUAAAUAAAAAUCAGGAUUAUACACCCCAAUAAAAAAACUAGCUUUUGAGAUUAAAAUAAUAAUCUAAUAUAAAUAAGAAGUUAAAAAGAAUAGAAAUCCUGAUUCAGAAUGUUCUGACUUGAAUUCUCUUGAUCUCUCUUGUUAACAGAAGUUGACUUUUCCAUAAAUGCUACAAAGAUUAAGAUGAAAUAUUUGCUUUUGAAUGUUAGUACGCAACACUGUUGCAGUGAAAGAGAAUGAAAAAUAGAUGAAAUAAUGAACAUCUAAACAUAGGAAAAAUACUUUUCAAUUUGUUUUUAAUUUUACUUUAAGUAAAAUUUUUAAAAUUAAAAUAAUUAUUUUAUCAAUUUUACCAUUUAAAUGAUAAUUUCUUUAAAUUUAAUUGUUUUCUAUUUGAAAACUUUUAAACUUAAUAAUUUUUUAAAUAAAAAAGUUACAUAUAAAAUAACUUAAAAAUAUUUAAUCAUACAAAUUAUUUAUACUACAUAAAUCCAGGCACUAUCACGUCUGUAUAUCCGUGCUGUCUUGUGUAUCUGCAUUUUUUUUAGAUAUUUAUAACAUAUUGUUUUGAGUGACAUAGUUUGUUAUCCACAUUUUAAAAAAAUUUAUAAUAUAUUAUACUAUGAGUUGAUAAUAUUAUAACUUUUCUAUGAAUAUAAGUAAAAAUAUUUGUUAUGAUAUAUGAUAUUUAUAUAUUAUUUACAUACUUAUCAAUUCAAACGUUGAAUUUGGAUUAUUUUAAUUAUCUUUCUUUUAUUCUUCAGGAUAGUUCUUUAUGUAUCUGCUCUGUGAUUAUUUUUUGUUCUUUAUAUGAAAAAUCUAGCCUUUAUAUAUUUUUAUUUAUUGUUUGGUGACUUAUGUUUCUCAUUUUGUUGUGUUAUCUAUUAAAAUAAAAAACAUUAAAUACCGAAACCGAAUUUAAACUAUUAGAGAAAUACCAAAUUUUCUUAAAAAAAUAAUCAAAUCUUACUAUAUCCUUAACAAUCCCCUAGUGAGUUUGAAUCCCACUGUAAUACACUCUAAACUACUUAAAUAUUCAUACAUUACCCUUUUAUAUGAAUAAUAGUUUUAGAUUAAUCUUUCAACCAUUCUUAUACUUAUUAGAGUCCUCUCAAAUAGUGAAAUUACUAAUUAAGUUAUCGAUAACAAUAUAUAAAUGCAUUACAUAAAUGCAACAUAGUAAUAGAUAUAUAAUAAAUAAAAUAAAUUCUAGUUAUUGAAGUAAUAAAUAUUAUAAAUAAUUGUGUAAAUAAAUUUAUGUUAUGAGUAAUUAUUUAAUUUUGAAAAAAUAGGUAUUAAAAGAGUAAAAGUGUAGAUUAGUUUUUCUAUAAUGAGUAAUUAUUUGAAUUAAAAAAGUAGUUAUUGAAAUGUGAAAAAUAAAAAAUAGUUUUCUGUUAUAAAUAAUUAUUUAGAUUUUAAUGUAGUAAUUAGGAUGAUAAAAUUUGAAAAAUAAAAUAAAACACUAAAAUAUUUAUCUUUUUUAUAUAUAAUUAUAGAUUUUAUUUUAUAAUUAUAAUAAUAACAAUAACUAUAAUUUUAUUAGUUUUUAUUAUUGUAUAGAGAAAAUGAAAACACAUACAUCUACCAUCUAUAAUUAUAUAAAGAGAAUAACUAUUUUUGAUUUGUCUAUAUUUUUGGUUUUUCUAUUUUACUUUUUACACAAUAGUUAAUGUUCGUAAUACAAAAUUGAGAUAUGGUCUAAUACGUUUUCUAGAUUAGAAAAAAAGGUUUCUAUUUAUGUAAAAUGAUUGCAAGGAUUAAAAAGAAAUUGAUAUUAGAUUUUGAGAAGUAAAAUAAAAAAAAAAUAAUUAAUUGUUUAUCAGUAAAAAAGUGUAUAUAUUAACUAAAUUUAACCAAUUUAUAGGAACUAAAUUAAAUAUUUUACGGGUAAAUAUGUAUAGACUAUAGAGGUGCAUAUUUUGAUUGCACAUGGAACAAAUUUUACAUAUUAGAGUAUUAACAUUUAUACAUAUGAAAACAUGUUAUAUGUAGGUAAAAGAAUUAUAUAAAAAAUUUCUUUCUUGUAUCUUAUUCACGCCUUUUAGUUUCUAUUUUGCAGAUCUACAACAUUUUUUCUCAUAGAUUUAAGUGGAACAUAAUGUUAAAUACUAAAAUGCAUAUAUUAAUAUUAAUGAUAUUGAAUGGUCUCGAAAUGCAUCCUAGUUAAAUUCUAAGAAGAUUCUUCCACAUUAGUUAUUUGUGAUUAGUGUAACAGUUUGUAAUUAAUUAAUUUAAUUUAAUUGAUUGCAAAGGCACUUUCUCUCUCUUAGUCGCAGCGUGUAAGCCGUACACACGUUCGUUAAAGAGAUAAUAGGAGUAUCCUCUGUGGCGCGUGGAAUUAGUUUCCCUACAUGAGGUAUGAUUUACGAAAGGAAGAAGGCGUAGGAUGAGAGCGUGGACUACAAUCGUUGAUCUAUAACGUGUGGGAAGAAGAGGAGUUGGCCUCCCCAGUCCAUGAAAGGUUUGGACCAACCAUUUGCUAUAACUAUAUGUAUCCACACCUGUUAUUGCAAUUUUUAACACAGCCUCGGAGAAAAACCCGUCGAACCAUUUCCAUAAUUUCCCCCCCUCAGUCACUUACCCCGGCGGCGCCACCGUCACCGCCACCGCCAACCCUCCAUGACACAAACAUCAGCCAAACAAUACCACAAUCUCUGAGACAGGAAUCUCGUACAGACAAAUAAAUUUAUUGAUCAAUCCGAAACGUUGUUUGGUCGCUAGCGAGCGCGUGAGGGUCCGCUGCAACCAUGUCGAGCAUCGUCAAGGAGAUCCUGGCGAGCCCGAUACAAAUGGCGGACCAGGUAUCGAAGAUGGCGGAGGAGGCCCAGAAUUUCCGACAGGAAUGUCUCGAGCUCAAAUCCAAAACGGAGAAGCUCGCAGGGCUCCUCCGCCAGGCCGCGAGGAACAGCAGCGACCUAUACGAGCGUCCCACGCGGCGCAUCAUCGACGACACCGAACAAGUCCUGGACAAGGCCCUCAUACUCGUCACCAAAUGCCGCGCCAACAGUGUCAUCAAAAGACUCUUCACCAUCAUCCCCGCCACAGCCUUCCGCAAGACCUCCAUGCAGCUAGAGAAUUCCGUGGGCGAUGUCCAGUGGCUCCUCCGCGUCUCUGCCUCCGCCGACGAGCGUGACGACGAGUACCUCGGGCUUCCCCCCAUCGCUGCCAACGAACCCAUCCUCUGCCUCAUCUGGGAACAGGUUGCCAUUCUCUUGUCCGGUGCCCCCUUGGAAGAUCGCAACGACGCCGCCGCUUCAUUGGUUUCGCUCGCUCGCGACAAUGACCGUUACGGGAAACUGAUCAUCGAAGAGGGUGGCGUGCCCCCGCUGUUGAAGCUUCUGAAGGAAGGACACUUGGAAGGACAGGAGAACGCUGCGAGAGCCAUUGGGCUUCUCGGGAAAGACCCUGAAAGUGUGGAACACAUUGUGAACGCCGGUGUUUGUUCAGUGUUUGCCAAAAUCCUCAAAGAUGGUCACAUGAAGGUUCAAGCGGUGGUGGCCUGGGCUAUUUCUGAACUCGCUGCCAAUCACCCCAAAUGCCAGGAUCAUUUUUCUCAGAACAAUGCCAUACGCUUGCUCGUUAGCCAUCUCGCCUUCGAGACCAUUCAAGAGCAUAGCAAGUACGCUAUUGCCAACAAGGCCAGGUCCAUUCACACCUUAGUUUUGGAGAGUAAUACAACCAACACGCAUGAAUAUGAAGAUGAUAAGAACGUUGCCCUUCGUCCAACGGGGACAAAUACAUCCACUCAGAUGCACAACGUGGUUUCGAACACCAUGGCAAUGAAGGGCAUUGCCCAAAAAAAUAAUGCCACUGCCACGGCUGGGACACCGCAUAACAGCGGCGUUACAAACGCGAAAAAACAUCAAGGUGGGACACCGCACGUGUCAAUUGCUGGGACGAGUAUCAAGGGGAGGGAAUACGAAGACCCCGUCACAAAGGCAGAGAUGAAGGCGAUGGCAGCCAGAGCCUUAUGGCAACUGGCGAGGGGUAACUUGAGUGUGUGUAGGAGCAUAACAGAAUCAAGGGCUCUUCUGUGUUUCGCAGUUUUGCUGGAAAAGGGUCCCGAAGACGUGCAAUCUUACUCUGCGAUGGCGUUAAUGGAAAUAACGGCCGUGUCGGAGCAACAUGCAGAGCUGAGACGCUCUGCAUUCAAACCCACAGCCCCUGCUGCAAAGGCUGUUCUUGAUCAGCUUCUUAGAGUGAUAGAAAACGAACAAGAUGACCUGCUCAUACCUUGCAUAAGAUCCGUUGGUAAUUUGGCGAGAACUUUCAGAGCCACGGAAACAAGACUGGUUGGGCCAUUGGUGAAACUCCUUGACGAAAGAGAAGCCCAUGUUAGCACGGAAGCGGCAAUUGCACUCAACAAAUUUGCAUGCACGGAAAACUACCUCCACGAGAACCACUGCAACGCCAUCAUAGAGGCUGGGGGCGCCAAGCACUUGAUUCAACUGGUUUACUUUGGGGAGCAAAUGGUUCAGAUUCCUUCCGUGACUCUCCUUUGUUACAUAGCGCUCCACGUCCCCAAGAGCGAGACACUGGCGCAAGAAGAGGUUCUCAUAGUUCUGGAGUGGUGCACCAAGCAGGCACAUCUCGUGGAGGAACACAGCAUCUUACAACUGCUACCAGAAGCUAAGAGUAGACUCGAACUCUAUCAAUCAAGAGGAAGAGGAUUCCGUUGAACUGCUCAACCAUGAAAUCUGUAACUCCAUCCCGUCUUCUUUUACUUUUACGGAUUGCAUGAGUUUAUGUAUAUAUUCCAGGGUGCUUGCCCCUCAAAUUAAUCUAGGCACAUCGUCUUUUUGUAUCCAAUAUUAGAAUAUAUCUCUAUAGAAAACCUUCUUCUUAUGUGUUCUUUUUCACCAAUUUUUUCUUUCUGUCAACUUUGAUUCAUCACACUCCUGCAUUUAUAUCCCUUUCGCUGUUUAUUCAGGACCUGAAAAUAGGAGGAUGCAUUAAGGAGGGAGGGCAAAUUUUCUGAUUUCUUCAUAAAGUAAAAGAAGGAAGAAUUCUUUUAUUGUGUCGUGUGGAUUUUUUGUUUUCUAUAAUCAGAAUUGAAAUAUCUAAUCUAAUAUGUUUCACCAUUACGAUUUACGGGUAAACUGUGUGUAAUGUACUCUUGGACGCACUUUUUUCGGAGAAAGCCUUGCUUCCUUAUACAUAUUUUAUAAAAAUUAAAGUGAUUUGAAAACUUAUAUAUAUAGAAAACAAUUAGAGACUAAAAUAAAAUUACUAUAACGUCGAGUGAUGAAAAAGAGGAAGAGAAGUCCCUAAAACUCAUGUGCAUAUAUGUUUGGAUGGAGAUGGUGAGUAUGAAAAUCAGACUCCCUGGAAACAAACUUUGGCGUUUAAUUUUUUGUAGCUACCUAGAAAGAAGCUAGGGAAAUCAAUCUUAUAUACUCAUACUUCUUUUCUAUAAUUUUCUUUAAAAAUCUUAUAUGUAAUUUGUAAUUGUUUUUCUGUCAUACUUUUUUUAAUCACAAGUAUUGUUUUCUAUUCUAAAUACUUGUUAAUGUUGAAUUUAUCGAUAAAUGUCUUAUAUUUUUUUUAAAAAUAUUUUUUAAAUUAUUUUAAAAUUAAUUUUAAUCUUAUAAAAAACGUGGAUUAAUGAUUUAAUAGUUCCAAAUGUUUUCUAUUUUUAUAAAUGAAACUUAAAUUUACUUAAUAAAUAUAAUAAUAUUUAUAAAUCAUAUUUGCAUGUAUUUUAUUAAUUAAAAUAAUUUUUUUUAUAUCUAAAACUAAUUCAAAUGUUUUUUUACAAUAAAUGAAUAUAAAAAAUUAAAAUUAUUGUACUUCUCAUUUAUUUAUUUAAUAAAUACAUAAAUUAGAGUUAGAUAUAUAAAAGUUUAUUUUAAUUAAUAAAAAUAUAGGUAAAUAGAAUUUAUAAAUAUUUUUAUAUUCAUUAAAUAAAGGGUUAAAUAUGUUUUUAGUCUCUAUACUAUCAAGCGAUUUUGGUUUUAGUCUCUCUUUCAAAAUAAGGUAUAUUUUAGUCAUUCUCUUCUAGAAAACUUUGAUUUUAGUCUUCCAAAACUAACAUCGUUAAAAACCAGCUAAUGUGGCUAACGAUGGAAUGUCACGUCAUCUUUUUUCUAACACUGAGUCAAUCUGACCCUCACCGUUCAGUCACUAUCAUCAUACAGUCAUCAUUAUCGUUCGGUCUACAUCACCAUUCAGUCAUCAUAACCAUUCGGCCAGUACCAAUACCUUUCAGUCAGAACCAAUAUCGUCCGGCCACCACAUAUAUCGUUCGGUCAUUCAGUAAUCAUAACCAUUCAGCCAGUACCAACACAGUGCCGUCACCAUUAAUAUCGUUUGGCCACCACAUAUAUCGUACGGUCAUUUAGUCAUCAUAACCAUUCGGCGUAUAUUUCCAAUGCAGUUCAGGAUGGCCGGUGUUUGGAUGCAAUUUUCGCAUUUAAAAAGUUUCUUUGUGUGGGUGGAGAGCCAAGUGCGAUAACAUUUUGUGUGUUUCUCAAUGCGUGUGCUGACAUGGCUAGUUUAGAGCUCGGGACUCAGUUACACGGAUUUAUAGUUCGGAGCCGGUACCAAGAGGAUGUCUCUAUUUCCAAUGGGCUUAUUGAUUUCUACAAAAAAUGUGGAGACAUGGUGUCAUCUGAAAUGGUUUUUAACAAAAUUGACAGUGGCAGGAGGAAUGUUGUUUCCUGGUGCUCUAUGCUUGCUGCUCUUGUGCAAAACCACGAGGAAGAAAUGGCGUGUAUGGUCUUUCUAAAGGUAAGGAAGGAGGUUGAGUGAACAGAUUUCAUGAUAUCGANUGUACUCAGUGNGUGUNCGNAGCUUGGAGGGCUUGAACUGGGCAGGUCAGUUCAUGCUCUUGCUGUUAAAGCAUGUGUCGAGGAGAAUAUAUUUGUUGGGAGUGCACUUGUUGAUAUGUAUGNAAAAUGCGGAAGUAGAGAGAACGCAGAGCAAGUAUUCAAAGAAAUGCCCGGGAGGAACCUAGUUACUUGGAAUGCAGUGAUAGGUGCAUAUGCAUAUAUUGGGCGAUGUUGACAUGACAUUGACUUUAUUUGAGGAGAUGACACUGGGCAACUUUGGUAUAACACCAAGUUAUGUUAAAGUAAUUUUGGUAUUGUCAGUGUGUAGUUGGGCAGGGGCAGUGGAGAGAGGUUUGCAUAUAUUUGAAUCCAUGAGAAGGGGAAAUGGAAUUAAACCAGGCGCCGAGCAUUAUGCAUAUAUUGUGGACCUUCUUGGGAGGUAUGGUUUGGUAGGUCGUGUAUAUUAAUUUAUUAAAAGAAUGUCAAUUCUUCCCACUAUAUUUGUAUGGGGAGCUCUACUCGGGUCUUGCAAGAUGCAUGGGAAAACAGAGUUGGGGAAAAUUGCAGCUGAGAAACUAUUCAAGCUAGAUCCUGACAACUCUGGCAACCAUGUAGUGUUUUCCACUUGCUAGGAUUGUUGAUGCUGAGAUUUAAGGUUGAGAAAUAUCAUUGUGUAGUUUCUGAUUGAAAGAGGUGGCUGGAAGUGAUUGAGUUGACAGGAUGAAUUGAGUUAUGAAUGAGUUUCAGUGUUUUUUAGUUUUUGUAUCGAGUCUUCUUCUCUUUAGUUUGAGUCUUCUUUUUAAUCUGAGUCUUGGAUCUUUGUUUUGAUUUUAAUUUCCCCUGUCUAAGAGGGCAGUUCCUUAAGCGUGGGAGUGUGUUAACUCUCUAUUUUUUCUCAUUUUUGUGUGUUAAUAUUCUUCUCUGAGGUUAGUUUAGUUUUUUAUUUUAUAGAAUUAAAGUAGUUUAUAAUAAUUAGGAUAAAAAAAGGGUUUUGUAAAAAUAUUGUUAAUUUUACCUUUUAAGAUAAAUAAUUUUUUUUUAUAAUUAAGUGUUUUCCCUUUUAGAAAAAUAUUCAGAAAAUUAAAAAUAAAAUUUAAUUUUUUUUGGCUUUAUUUUUCAUUUUAUUUUCCAGUUUAUUCUUUUUUAAAUUGAUAUGUCAAUGGGUGCAAGAAUAAAUAAAAAAGGAAUCGAACUUGGCUGAUUGGGCUGAAGUAGUCAACUGGGUAAGUGGGUUGAUACACUGGAACUAAACUGUGGAUGGGCUAAAGCCAAUAAAGUAAGGGUAAUGAUCCCUCCACCUCCCCAAUCUAGCCUACACCUCCUCAAUAUUUAUUUUAUUCCAAAAAUAUCUUAAAUUAAUUUAAACUUUACCAUUUAAUUUUUUAUCAUUUUUAAAACCCUAGCGAUUGGUUUAAAAAUCUUGCUUCAUAAAACAUCCAAAUAACAUUCAUCAUUGUGUUACUACUAGAGUUGAAUAUUUUCAACAUUAAAAAUAAUUUUGGUAAUGGUAUAAUAUAACACCCCCAGAUGCUUAUUUCUGCGUGUAGUUAACUUGUAUACAUAGCUCAACAACAAUUUAUAAAAUGACAAUUUAUUAUCACAAAUGCUAACUUGGCAGAAGCCGAUUUCCUUAAGGAUGGAUGUCAAUGUUCGUGGACGCACAUUAAUAUCCGUUUGUCUCUUCAACGGAGGUCCAUUUACGUCGACAGAAGUUGAUAUCGAUUUAAUUUAAGGGCAAAAGAGAAAUGGAGAGGUGUAGGAAGUGAUGUGUGGAGGUGCAGGGAGUAACACCCAUAAAGUAAAAGUGCUGCAGUGAAUUAGUAGUGAAUUAGUAAUGCGGUGCGUUUUGGCUGCCAUUUCCUUCAUUUUCAUUCGUGCAAGAGAGAGUUCAAACCAGAGCUUAGGGUUCGUGGUCCAACGGAGAGAAGUGUUGCAGCGAUUAAAGGACGCGAGCUCCAAGGCCCAAAGAGGAAGCCGGCCCAAGCUGAUCAGAAGCAAAUCGGAAGCAAGGAAUCGUGAUCGGAAGCAAGGCAGUGCAGAGCUGGAUCGAACGAUUGAAGUUCGCGGUCAGAGUUAGCUGAAGGAGUUGAUUCAAGAAGCUUCUACCGUUACUCGGUUCUUCCCCCUUUCCCUCUUUGCUUUUCUUUUCUGUUUUACGAUUACCCUAUAUAAAGGGAGGUUUUGUAACUUUGUAAACACAGGUGGUGGGUGACAGACACCACUCUAUACUCUCAGUUCCAAAUUCUUCAGUUUUAGAUUUUAUUGCUUUCGUAUAAAUAGAUACAUUCUCUGCUUAACUGGGGGUUCUUGGAUUUUCCAUUGGGUGACAGGCAGUGGGACUCUGAGAAACUCUGUACUUUCGAUUUCAGAUUUCAAUACAAAUUUUAUGCUUAUGUUCUUUCAGUUUUGAUUCUUGCACAUGAUUUUACUUUCUCUGUUUUAGCAUUGAUUGAUUUUUCAUUUCAGUAUUAGAUUUUGAGUUGCUUUAGAUUCGUGUACUGUUCCUUUAAGAUUUCAGCAUUUGAUUUCGGUAUCGCAUGAUUAGGAAUUGUAUUUUAGGAAGUCUGUUACAUUGCUGUUUGAGUAGUUUGAUUUGGGCAUUUCAAUUCUGAUUUUGGGUGUUAUUAGAUUUUCAAAUUUUCUUUCAUAGUUAUUGUUUUAAUUUCUUUCUUAGCAUUCAUUCUCAUGAUAGUCCUUAUUGUUCAUUCACUUAGUUAAUUACCAAAUUAGGAUUUCCUUCAUAUUAAUUGAAUUUUAGAUUGUGAAUUCUGUUUUAGUUUCUUUUUAGUUUUUAAGAUUCUUUUAANUGCAUUAGCUUAGUCUUGUUAAUACAGAUUACAUUAGUUACCGUAAUAUAGGAUAGAUAUAUUGUUUUCUUUCUACUUUUCCAUUAGUUUUACUUAGAUUUUAACUCUUUUAGUUUCUCUUUUUAGAUUUUAGUUUCAUAUUUUCAUUAUUUCUCCCCCACCUAGUUCUAGUAAAUAAUUAAUUAGGCUCAAUUCCAUAAUUCUAAACUUGAUUUUGCCAAGUCCUUGGAUUGAUCCCUAGUUAGCCCUAUACUACAUUAGUGGGGACUAGGUUUGUUGACUUUUAUACGACCAAAAGGCUUUCAACAAUGUCUUUCUAAGAACUCUAAGCACUCUUUUAUUCACAUCAAUGAGCAUUUACCGGGGAAUUCAAUUCUUCUUUGAUUUUGUUGUCUUGUUUUUGAUGAGUUAGAAUUUAGAUAUUGACUUUGCUUUGUUUCAAUUAUAAAUUUGUUCCUUAAAUUUUGAUUUCUUAUUCAUUGUUCUACUUCCAGUUCAUUGCAUUGUUCAUUUACUUUCUAGGUUAAAUCCUUUCUUGCUUAAGUAGCGACAACUUUGAAAUUUGAAAUGGCAUGCCAGAAAACCAAAGCUGGCUGAAAAGAAUGUACUCUGGUUUCUGAUCACCAUAUCCAUGAACGCGGCUUCUCCAAACCUGCUUGGUUCUUUGCUGGAAUCAGCUGUUUCAACUCGCUCUUCCCUGCUUGGCCGUGCGGUCCACGCGCUUAUCCUCAGAACCCAUGACACCCCUCUCUCCUCCUUCCUCUGCAACCACCUCGUUAACAUGUACUCCAAACUCGACCGUAUCAACUCAGCUGAAAUCCUUCUGUUACUCACCAACCCCCGCACCGUUGUCACCUGGACCUCUCUCAUCUCCGGCUGCGUUCACAACCGUCGUUUCACCUCCGCUUUCCUCCACUUCAAUAACAUGCGCCGCGAGUGUGUUCUCCCUAACGACUUUACUUUCCCCUGCGUAUUCAAAGCUUCGGCUUCGUUGUGCAUGCCCUUUACUGGAAAACAGCUUCACACCCUCGCUCUAAAAGGUGGAAAUAUAUUGGACGUGUUUGUUGGGUGCAGCGCCUUUGACAUGUACAGCAAAACCGGCCUUCGAGUCGAGGCUUGUAACAUGUUCGACGAAAUGCCGCAUAGAAACUUGGCCACGUGGAAUGCGUAUAUUUCCAAUGCAGUUCAGGAUGACAGGUGUUUGGAUGCAAUUUCCGCGUUUAAAAAGUUUCUUUGUGUGGGUGGAGAGCCAAAUGCGAUAACGUUUUGUGUGUUUCUCAAUGCGUGUGCUGACAUGGCGAGUUUAGAGCUCGGGAUUCAGUUGCACGGAUUUAUAGUUCGGAGCCGCUACCGGGAGGAUGUCUCUGUUUCCAAUGGGCUUAUUGAUUUCUACAAAAAAUGUGGAGACAUGGUGUCAUCUGAAAUGGUUUUUAACAAAAUUGACAGUGGCAGGAGGAAUGUUGUUUCCUGGUGCUCUAUGCUUGCUGCUCUUGUGCAAAACCACGAGGAAGAAAUGGCGUGUAUGGUCUUUCUAAAGGCAAGGAAGGAGGUUGAGCGAACAGAUUUCAUGAUAUCGAAUGUACUCAGUGCGUGUGCGGAGCUUGGAGGGCUUGAACUGNGCAGGUCAGUUCAUGCUCUUGCUGUUAAAGCAUGUGUCGAGGAGAAUAUAUUUGUUGGGAGUGCACUUGUUGAUAUGUAUGGAAAAUGCGGAAGUAUAGAGAACGCAGAGCAAGUAUUCAAAGAAAUGCCCGUGAGGAACCUAAUCACUUGGAAUGCAAUGAUAGGUGCAUAUGCACAUUUGGGCGAUGUUGACAUGGCAUUGACUUUAUUUGAGGAGAUGAUGACAUUGGGCAGCUUUGGUAUAGCACCAAGUAAUGUUACACUAGUUUCGGUAUUGUCAGCGUGUAGUAGGGCAGGGGCAGUGGAGAGAGGUUUGCAUAUAUUUGAAUCCAUGAGAGGGAGAUAUGGAAUUAAACCAGGCGCUGAGCAUUAUGCAUGUAUUGUGGACCUUCUUGGGAGGUCUGGUUUGGUAGAUCGUGCAUAUGAAUUUAUUAAAAGAAUGCCAAUUCUUCCCACUAUAUCUGUAUGGGGAGCUCUACUUGGGUCUUGCAAGAUGCAUGGGAAAACAGAGUUGGGGAAAAUUGCAGCUGAGAAAUUAUUCCAGUUAGAUCCUGACGACUCUGGCAACCAUGUACUGUUUUCCAACAUGCUUGCAUCUGCUGGCAGGUAAAAUUUACAAUUUCGAUAACUAAGUUUCCUUCUUGGAUUGAAUGGACAAGUUAGCUGAAUUGUUUGUUGUAUUUGGUAGAAUAAGUUGUCCCAUCCAAAUUAGUCUCAACAGAAUUUACCUUCUUUUUUAUUUUUUUCUGUAUCUAGUAGGAUAAGGUUUGUAUUAUUGUUGUGGUGGUUUUCAUUUUUCUGUGUUGCUUUAGCAUAUUUAGCCAGAACUAAAAACUGUCUCUUCCUUCUGAAUUAACAUUGUUUAUGAUUCUUUUGCUAAUGCUUGUAAUUGCUAAAUGCAGAUGGGAAGAAGCAACUAUUGUUAGGAAGGAAAUGAGAGAUAUUGGAAUUAAAAAAAAUGUUGGUUAUAGUUGGGUUGCUGUAAAGAAUAGAGUCCAUGUUUUCCAAGCAAAGGAUAGUUCUCAUGAAAGGAACUCUGAAAUUCAGGCAAUGCUAGCUAAGCUCAGAGGGGAGAUGACCAAAGCUGGGUAUGUUCCUGAUACCAACCUAUCACUUUUUGAUUUAGAAGAAGAAGAAAAGGCUUCAGAAGUAUGGUACCACAGUGAGAAGAUUGCUCUAGCAUUUGGCCUCAUAGCUCUCNCUCAUGGAGUGCCCAUACGUAUUACAAAAAAUCUUAGGAUUUGUGGAGAUUGUCAUAGUGCCAUUAAGUUCAUNUCAAAAAUUGUUGGAAGAGAUAUUAUCGUGAGAGAUAAUAAUCGUUUUCAUCACUUUAAGGAUGGUUGGUGUUCUUGUAAAGAUUAUUGGUAAUAGUUCCAUACUCCCAUUAUUUUAUCUGUUUCAUAUGCGUCAAAGAAUAUUUUUGAAAUAACACAUCAGGUUCUCUUUACCCAUGUUGAUGGUGAAUGCCGAUCAAUUGUUAUUUUCACGGUGCAUCUGCCAUUUUCUAAUAAACUGUGCAGGGGUACUGUACCAUUCUCCUAGUGUGUCCAUUCUGCAUAGGUGCUUAUUCAGGGUGUUUACAUGGUAGAGUUUGACAAGGGAUUUUGCAUAGUGAUUUAUGUAUGGGACAGGCUGAUUUGAUUUUGGUAUGUGUUGUGCUAUAGUUGAUAUAGCAAGUCCUGUAUAAAUAGAACUUUCUUAGAUAUCAAGUAAUAAGAUAAACUCUUUUCUGAUUGACAAAUCAGACUAUAUUACAACCACAAUGCAUAUUACAAAUUGUCAUCAACAGUAUUACUAGUGUACAUCACAAUGUAUAUUCACUUUGAUACUACUAUUGCUGGUUUUCAUAGUCACGUAGUAAUAUCUUUAGGUAAAAGAAGAGAAAGUACAGAUAUCAACACUAUUUUUACAAAACAAACCCUCAUCUAGUAAGAGAAAAACCAUGGGGCAAGAGUAGAAAAGUAUUCUCACUAAGUGGAAGAAAAACUACAGCCUCUCUAAAUACAAGUAGAAAAAGAAUACAUUCUCUCAUAAUAGAAUACCCUUGCUUCUAACUCUCUCAAAUGAGGAGUUACUCUAUAGGAAUGCAUCAAGCUCAUGGAAUGACUUGCUAUUUAUGGUAAAAGGAUGAAAAUGGUUAUUAGUUAGCAAGGUAAAAGUUGUCUGCUUCCUAACCAACUUAGUAGCAAAGAAUUGCAUGAUGUACAAAAUUUUCAACCAUCUAUGUUUUACUUUUAUGCAAAAAAAUUGGGUUUACGUGGUUUCGUAGUCAUCUAUUUAGUUUAAUCUUAUUUAGCACUAUCAUACUUUAUUAUGAAGUGGAAAUAUUGAAUAAUUGGUGAUUAUGUUAUGCAUAUAUGUCAUUAAUAGAUUUCUUUUACGGUAGGAAAACUCUUGGGAGUCUAGGAAAGAGUUUAUUUAGACUUUCAGGUUUGAUAAUUCUGCAUAAUAGUAAAACUUAACUUGUAUAGUGGUCAUUUUCGUUGCUAUUAUUCUAGAUAUUGAAUGCACACUUUCUUCAAGAUCAGAAGAGAAUAAAAAUCAUAGAUUAUAUUCACAAAAAAAGUGGCAUUCUAAAUAAUUUCAGAAGUCUGCAGCAUAAGUAACCACAUUUCCUUUGUUUUCUUCGGAAGUAGUGUUUAUUUGAGAAUCGCAAUUUGUAUCACAAGGAUCACUGACUUAGCCAUUAGAAUCCGCCACUUGAAAUCAGGAUUCAAAAGUAAGGCUUUCAGCUUCCCGUCUGACUGAUUCAAACAGCACGGAGGACAGGUACCUCUCACCAAAGAUUGGGAAAAUAACCUGUACCAUAUCAAAACGGAACUCUCCACUAAGUGAAACUUGUAAAAUAAUGCUCAUGACUAACUCUCAGUUGUCAUCAAUCAAAACUAAACAAACAAUAUGUUGAAAAAAACAUGGGAUUUUGUUGCAAGUUCUUAACAGACAUUUAUACAAAAAGACAUCAACUUACAACAACUAGUUUUCUAGCAUUUUCUGGUCUUUUUGCUAUCUUAAUGGCAGCUGAAGCUGCAGCUCCAGAUGAUAUUCCAACCUAUAGUAAUAUUUCAAGUAUAGAUUCAACAAACUGUACAGGUAUUAUAGAAUAAAUUUGUAACAUAAACCUAUGAGCUUCCUUUGCAGUAUGGCUCAUUUGAUUGCCUGUGCAUAGAUCCUUUAGAACCUGUUGCUGACACUGCAGUAUUAAAUGACUCUAAGGUUCUUAAAGAAGCAUUUGAGAUUGGAUAUAUUCAUACCCCUGCCGAUUGUAUUGAUGUUAGAGGUCUUAGUGGUCAGAUUGGUUUCCUUCCAGUGAGCACUUGGUAAGCAUGAGUUAUUCUUCAGCAUAUGAUAAUUGCUCAUUUCCUUAUAAUGCUCAACCACCAAGAUUUGACAUGUUUUAUGAGCCUAUUCAUGAGGUUUCUAUGCAGCCAACCAAUCAAGCUUUCCAGCAACAACCACCACCUUGUUUUCAACCAUAUCAUAAGCAGCCACCCUGGCAUGUACAGCAGCAGCUGCCACAUUCAUAUGCAGUAUGAGGAGCCAAAGCAAGAGGAAUUCCAAUCAGUGCAGCCAUGGAAGCCACAAUUCUGUAACCAGUGGCAGCAGGGGAUUGCAUCAUCUGAUUUUCAAGAAAUGACCUCCCAAGUGGCCCAAAUGGUGGCUGCUAUCAAUCAACUGGCUAGGAAAACUGAAGAGGAGAAGGAGGCAACAGUCAAUGAAGCACCACUGGGAGCAGCCUCUGCACUCGAGUUUCAAGCUGACCAUAAUCUUAAUAAUGUAGUUGGCGGACUUGAUCAGGUUUUUUCUGUACCUGAUAUUCCUAUUCAUGUACCUGAGUUUCAAGUUGAUAUUAAUGCUUUUGAUCUUUUACAACUUGAAACAAUAAAGCCUGUCUUGGAUCUUGAUAUUUCGGUUUGGAUGUCUGCACACACUCACAAUUUAAAUUCAGCAUUUUCCAUUGAAUAUAUUGACAUACCUUAUGCUGUUUCAGAAUUAUGUGCUGAUUUUAACAUCAUUCCAGUUGAUAAUAGCUUCACGGUAGGUGUUCAUUUAGCUGCUGAUUUGAUAGAUGCUAGUGAGGUCAUUUUUGAGGAGCCAGUACAGGUUGAUUCUAAACUUGAGCUUCCUAGCUGUUUGGGUGAGGUACAAAUUAGCUUUGAUAAUCUUAUGCAUGAGAAACCCUUGCCUGAUAGUCUUGCUGUCAUGCCUAGUUGUUCUGAAAUGCUGGAUAAAUUUUUUGUUUUAGAACAUAUUGAUAUUCUGGAUGAGGUUUAUGAUGUGUGCACUGAACCUAAUUACAAUAUUGAUGAUAGCCUUGUGAAAUGCACUGACUUAACUGAGGAUUCUGCUGUUAUUGGUAGGGAUAUUUUAAAUGAGCUAACACAGGUGUGUUCUGACCUUGAGAUUCCAGUUGCUUUAUCUGAGCUUCCUUUGCAGUAUGGCUCAUUUGAUUGCCUGUGUAUAGAUCCUUUAGAACCUGUUGCUGACACUGCAGUAUUUAAGCAUUUGAGAUUGGAUAUAUUCAUACCCCUGCCGAUUGUAUUGAUGUUAUGUGUCCAGCCUUUGAUGCACUGUUCUUUAUUGAAAAUGAAUUUGAGUUCACUGUUAACAAAGAUGCAAUGUUUGAUGAUCCACUUAUGCUUGACUUUGAAUUUAGUGAAUUUUGUGCAGAAUUAAAUGAAGAAGGCACACACUGAAGGCAUGAAAGAAGUUCUGGUUGAGCUAGAUGGGAAAGGAGAGCCGAGUUUGACGCAGUGGAGAGCUGAGAAGGAGCAACUCAAUGCAACCUUGGAGGCAAUGCACAAAGUGGAUGAGCAGAAUAGAGAAAAACCAAUAAGAUCCUUCUUUCCCUUUCUUUUAAAUAGUAGUUAUAGGUCUUUUAGAGUAAUGUGCAUAGUUUCAAAUAGCAUAGUUAAUAAUAUGAUAGUAAAUAUGCUGUUCUACAUAAAAAUAAAAAGAAUAAAUUUUGAUCUAUGGCCUAUUUGAAUAAAUUUUCUUUUUCCUUUAGUUUUGUAGAUUUAGUUUAGUUUUCUUAGUUCUAUUCUGUUAUAUGCAUUCUCUUUCAAUUUUAGUUCUUUUUCAAUAUUGUUUUGAAUAAUCCUGAUGUUGAUUGUCCUGUAUAUACUUGUUGCUGUUUGUGCUGAUAGAAAACCUUCAUCACUCACACAUUGAGGGCAAUGUGCCUCUUGAGUGUGGGGGUGGGAAGGUAUAGGUUUAAAAUUUUUGUUUUGAUGUAAAUAGAUCUGUUUAGGGGUAAUUUUUUUUUCUGAACUGUUUUUCCCUUUAGUUGUAGGUCUGUUUUAGUUUAGUGUAAUUGCUAUCUUUGUUAUAAUGUGUAAAUACCUUUCAUAAUCUGUUUAGUUUGUAAAUAAGAUUUAGUUUUUGGCUUUGAUUGUUAAUAGUUCUUAUGUGUUACGUAUUCAAGUAGGUAAUGUAACGAAAUCACCCUCUCACACACUCAAAACAAGCAAAAGAAUAAUGAAAGAAUCGAAUUGAACAAAUGAAUCUCUUUUAUUGAUGGUAGUGUAUGAAUAAACAAAAGUAAACAAUAACUGGGAGUAUAACCUUCUUCAGUUAUUUAAUAAUUGGGAGCAUAACCUUCUUCAGUUAUCCAAUAAUUGGGAGUAUAACCUCCUUUACAAAACUCACAAAUCAAAGCAUACCCUUAAUCAUAAACUCUAACUUUAUUUAUACUAAUUAUUUCUCGUCCAUCUCUUACUAAAUAUUUUCUUAGAAUAUAUUUGCAUUUAAUAUAAAUAUCCCUAUAUACUUAUCUCCCCAUAUAUUAUCCUAACAUAUAUCCUUAAUUAUAAAUAUCUUAUAUUGAAUAUUUUCCUAGAAUAUAUAUUUAUUUACUCUAAUUAACUUAUACUGAAUAUCUUAUAUUGAAUAUUUCUUUGGAAUAUAUAUUUAUUUACUCUAAUUAACCUAUAUUAUAUUUAUUUACUCUAAUUAACUUAUACCGAAUAUCCUCCCACCUUAUACCCUAACAUUAUGUCUUUAAAAUUCUUUCAUUCAUUUUUUGCUUAGGUUCUUUUACUUUUAAUUCUGUUUGUAGAACUUUUUUUAAGUCCUUUUUUGUUUCUUAUUUCUAUUUUUUUAUUCCUUAUGCUAGUUUAUUGUUAUGUUUUAGUUCUGAAUUAGUUACUUGUCCAUAUUUUAGUUUCAUGCUUUGUUUUGAGUUUUCAAUUAGGAUUUUGUUCAUAAUAAGGUUCUAUUUUCUUUCUGCCACUGUUUUAAAAUUGUUUUGAAUCUGUUAACUUUCUCUUUGUCAAUUCUUUGUUCUGGUUAUAUUACAUAUGUCAGGUAGCUUAUACUAAUAGGUUAGGUUUAUCUUCUUUCAAUAUAUUAGGUAGUAUAUUAGGUAGUCUAGUACUGAUUCUAGGUUCCUUGGUCUUCUUUGGUUUAGGCUAUUUUCUUUUCUUUUCAUCUUGCUAUUUUCAUUUUCGUAGAAGCUUUACUUAGGAGCUGUCUUAGUUACAUUCUGUCUGUCUUAGUUUGUUUAGAUUGUAAAUAGCUCUAGGCAAGUUUGUUUAGGAAUUUCUAGAUUCUGUUUCACAAUUUACUUAAAUAUUUGCUGAUAUGCUUAACAUUUUAGCUUUGUUUCUCUGAGAUAGAUUGCCAACAGUGUCUUUAGCUCUAGAUUUGAGUGAAUGCAGCUCUAGCAUUAAUUUUUGCAGUUAGUUCAAUUCAAGUGAGCAGUUUUUGCAUGAUAGAGAGUAGCAAGUUCAAUUUUGACAAAUGUUUAACCCUAGAGAGUUUUGGGCCAAUUUUUUUUCUUUCUAGUGUGAUUGCAUGCAUGUAUAACCAUAGUUCUGAUUUUGUAUUAAUUCUCUUUGAGUGUACUUGAUCUUGGUAGAACUUUAGAGAUGAUGUUAGGAUAUAGGGUAAGAGGAUAGAAUGGGUAUUGGGUUUAGGAUAGAAGGUGAAGGAAUUGUAUAAAUAAGACCCGGUUAGGUUGUCAAGGGAAUUAUCGAGUGUAUUCAGUGUAAAGGCAUGUCUUUAGCCUGUAGAAAAAGGUUAUGCUCCCAACCCAUUCGUUGUAAAAUAGGAUUUCUUUCACAUUGAAUAAUAGACAAUCCCCUUUCUUUCAUUACUGGUUUCUAUCUUCUGAGUGUGUUCUGUUAGGUUUCAAACCCAAGAACUUAACAAUUGGUCCGACCUGCCGGAUACGCUUGGCAGGGAAUUGCCGGAUCUGAAGUGUGGUGCCGGAUUGAGACGCUGUAGGGAUCGUGUGGAGUGAAGGAAAUUGCGGUUGAUAGAAAAUGAAUGCGCAGACUAUUUAUAACAGUUUCAUGUAUUUAUAACAGUUUCAUGAGUUAAGGAACUAAGAAUAUAUUUAAUCCUAUAUAUUUUUAUUUAAACUAAUCAUUCGUAAUUUAUUUUAACUUAAUUUUCAUCAAUAGUAUUUUAUUUUAAAUUAGUUUUCGUUAGUUAUUUUUAAAAAAAUAAUAACUUAACAUUUUAUUUUAAAUGAUUUUAAACUGAUUAAUCUUAUAAUUUUAUUAAUUAAAAUAUUCUUUUUUUCUUCAUUUCUCCUAUUUUUUUAAUCUGCUUUCAUGAAUCCAAACAAAUCCAUCUUCAGUUCUGAACUAAGUCUUAAUAAACAAUCUAGAUAUAUUCAUGAAACACGUGGGUGUGAUGUGUUCCUAAAUCAUAAGUGAGGCUAAUCCUGAAGGUACCUACUAGCUAUGGCUUUUUUCUCCUUUUAAUGGCACACCUCUAUUUGUGGAAUUGUCCUUUUAAAGGUCUGAGGUCAUGCCAGACAUUCUUAUGGCUUAAAAAAAUACAAAAAAAUCAAAUUAAUAUUUUGAUUCUUAUAUUUUAAAAAAUAGAAAACUUUGAAAGGACUAAUUUCAUUGAAUAUAUCCACUGAAUACAAACAAGUUUCCUUUCAAAUUCACAAGCAAAGCUUAAAAGGAUAUCGACAAUUAUUUACAUAGUUCCUCUCAAUUUAAUGGACAGAAAAAUCCCAGUAAGGCUACUUAUAUGUAUGAAGAUAUUCAUAAAAUCUAUAACCACUAAAGAAAUAACCAUACACAUGAAGGUGGAUAUAGAAUUUUGACCAUCCCCAUUCUCAAGAAUAAAAGCAAAAGUAAGAUGAUUGUUAGUUAAUGGAGGCAAUCCAUCAGUGAAAGUUCUAAUAAUAGUGUUUGGCAUUGGAGCAUUAUAAAUGCAGAGCAGGUAUGUAAAGAUUUGAACAUUAAGGUAAAGCAGAGGAUAUUACGUUAAAGAUGCGCAUUUAACAGUAGGAAGCAGAGUAUUUAGCCGAUGAUUUCAGAACCUCACCAAAACAAAACAAUAAUAAACCCAGCAACUAAUGGCUUUUAAUGUAAAAAAAUAUAAAUAAAAACGCAGAGAAGCCACACCCUAGCUAAUCCUAUUUCUAAAGCGUAAUCUUCAGAGUAGGAAAACCCAAAAAAGAAAGCAAAAGACCCACAGAACACAAAAGCAAGGCCCCACCCAUCAUGUGCUAUUAAAUCAACGCGCAUUCGAAGGGCAGUCCCUCGCAAAAUGCCCAGACUCCCCACAGUUGUAGCAGCUUCCACCGCCACCUCCGCCACCACUUCCUCCGUACCUUCCACCACCGCCACCACCUAAGCUGCAGUCCCUCGCCAUGUGACCCGUCUCCCCACACUUAUAGCAACCCCCUCCACCACCACCACCUCCCCCAUACCCACCGCCUCCGCCAUAGCCACCGCCACCAUAUCCGCCACCGCCUCCAUAUCCACCUCGUCCUCCGCGUCCUCCGCCGCCAUAGCCACCUCUUCCACCACCCCCGCCUCCGUAUCCACCUCUUCCCCCUCCUCCACCACCGCGGGUGCCCUGCACGGGCGAUUCGUCAGGGCCGGUGACGUCGACGGCCUUGGUGCGGCCUUCGGAAUCGGAGUCGAUGAGGAACUCGACGGAUUCUCCUAGGGCGAGGCUGCGAAAACCGUCGGAUCGGAUGGAGGACUGGUGGACGAAGAGAUCCUCGCCGCCGUCAUCGGUGGUUAUGAAGCCAAAUCCCUUCUGAUCAUUGAACCACUUGACCUUUCCCGUUACCCUCUGCUUCUCACUGUCGCUCAUCUCUCUCUCUCGAUCUGAUCUCUCUCUGUCACUGUCUGCUCUACGGCUCAAACUGCUCUGCACCUUCUGCCUUUUAUACGUCACAAUUUUGACCUACACUUAACUUUCACGCACUCCAUCAUCCAACAUCCAACGAUUUUCUUUCUUUUCUCAAUUUUUUAAAAUUCAACCAACGGCUCAGAUUCACUUUCUCCAAUCGGACUCAGACAAUCCACGUCUCUCAAUUUUAACUCUCCUUUUUUUAUUGCAAUGUUAAUCCAUAUGUCUUUCUAACCAGACAACAUCAUUUAAUGAAAUGUAAAACAAAUUUACUUUUCAUACUUUCACCC
rnacentral:lncRNA from 1 species